AUAUUGAUAGGUUUGCAAUUUCGUAAAAGAAACUCUCAUAUCUAUUAUGACUAAGCCACACGCUUACUUAACAAAGCUAAACACUACGCAUCCUAAAAAAGCAUUAAUCCAUCAGUCAACAUUAGUAUAUUGGGUAUGACUCGUGAAGUUAUGAUACAAUGUCGAUAAUUUUCUUGGUAAAAUGUAAAAAAGAAAUACGUAAUCAAUUUUUUCUUUGAAAUCUUUAAUAGUACUACUUUGGAAAUACAAAAAAAAUUGUUGAAAAUACCAACAUCAUGACAUGUUCCCUGGCGUGAUUAUUUUAGCGACACCUGAAGAAACGGCAUCGUUUUAGGUCAUCAUCUCUAUUUUGCAAAUAUCUCAUAAAGACGGUUAUAAAAAUCACAGAGACACACCACAGACGAUAAAAGCUCUCUAAAACUCACUAUUAUGGUCACCGUCUAUAAAUAACCGACCGACCACCGUCAAGUUUUUUUUAAUUUACACUAAUGCCACUGCCACCUCUUAUUCCGCCAGAUCCACCACCGUCUCCGCUGCAACACUGAUCCAUCAACCGUCACCGGAGAAGAAUCAUUCAGCAAUUAGAAAAUGGCGACGAAGAACACGAAGCAAAACAUGUCCGUGUUGUUAACUAAGCUCGGAGAUCGAGAUACUUUCACAAUGGCGGCUCGAGAGCUUGAUUUAAUGGCUAGACAGAUUGAUCCUUCCUCCUCCGGGAAUCUCCAGUCGUUUAUUUCCGUUAUACUCUCCGCCGACACCGGAGAUAAACCGGCGGUUCGUAAGCAUUGUAUUCACUUGCUCUCUGUUUUAUCAGUUUCUCUUCCUCUCAAUUCUCUGUCUCCUUUCCUCUCUAAGAUCCUCACUCGCAUCACGAGACGUCUCCGUGAUCCCGACUCUUCAAUUCGAUCAACUUGCGUCGCGGCUGUGUCGGCGAUCUCUUCACGUACGACGAAGCCUUCGUUUUAUUCGGCGUUUAUGAAGCCGUUAGCGGAUACGCUUUUCACCGAGCAAGAGGUUAAUGCGCAGAUCGGAGCUGCGCUUUGUCUCGCGGCGGCGAUUGAUUCGGCGUCUGAUCCGGAUCCGGUUCGGUUAGGGCAGACACUUUUGCCUAGACUUGAGAAGCUGGUGAAGUGUAAUGCGUUUAAGGCGAAAUCGGCGGGAGUUGUUGUGAUCGGAAGUUUGAUUGGUGCUGGUGGUUUGUCUGGAACCACAGUGAGCUCCGGUGGAUUGAAAGGACUUGUGGAAUGCUUAUUGAGCUUCUUGGUUAGUGAAGAUUGGGCCGCGAGGAAAGCAGCUGCUGAAGCUUUGGGGAGGUUAGCUACAAUGGAGAGAAAUGAGUUAGGUGAGUUCAAAGCUAAAUGCUUGAAGAUCUUUGAGAGCAGGAAAUAUGAUAAGGUUUGGUUUCCUUGAUCUUGAAUUUUUCAUUUGAAUCUAAGGUUUGGCUUAAAGAUGAUCAUAGAUUUGAAUUUUGAUAUGGUUUAGGUGAAAGCUGUGAGAGAGGUGAUGAAUCAGAUGAUGGAGGCAUGGAAACAGGUUCCAGAUUUAUCAGAAGAGGUUUCUCCACCCAGAUCUAAUGCUUCUUCUAAAGGUAUCCUCGUUUACCAUUUGAUCUUUAGCCAAAUCAGGAAACUUUUUCUUGUUUGGUGCUAAAAUACUAUCUUGGUUCACUGUGUUUCUUUAGCUUUGUAUGGAUUUGUAGCUAAGAUCUUUGGUUGCUUAUUUGUCCUGUUUUCUUGAUUCUAGGUGAUGCAAGUGAUGGACGAUACCCUUCAGGCUCUAGAGUUGCUUCAACACCUGCUAAAUCAAGAACUCAUCUAGUUAACAGAUCGACUCCACCCAGGAGUUCACUCGCCACCACGGCUAGGAAACAGGCUGGCAGAAAAAGCAUUGAUCAGAAGAAAACCAGUCUAACGGCACCACAUACAAAACCAAACGUGAGGAGAAGAUUGGACUGGAAAGCUGGAGGAGCUAGUAUUGCCACUGGUGUGCCUCUUGAAGACGAACAACUUCGUGAUCAUAACGAGAAUGCAAAGGAAACGAGUCAUUCUAGUCACAAUACGAUGCAGAAGUUAGGAGGUGUUUCCAGUUCUCUUAAUGGCAAUGUCCCACCAUCCGGUGCUACAAUGGUAACAGGGCAUCAUGUCUUGUCUGAAAACCCAAAUAGUAGUAACUGCAAAGGGCUUGAAGAUAUAUCUCUGAUCCGUAAUCAGCUUGUUCAGAUUGAACAACAGCAAGCCAAUCUAAUGGAUCUUCUUCAGGUUUGUUCUAAACAUGAUGAUGAUCUUUCUUACGUUACAAGCAUCCAGAUUGCUCUCAUUUCCGUAGGCCCUGAAACUUAUUCUGUGUGAUUUUUAUUAGAGAUUUGUCGGAAGCUCACAACACGGAAUGCGUGGUCUGGAAACACGAGUUCACGGCUUAGAACUUGCACUGGAUGAGAUAUCUUAUGACUUGGCGGUUUCAAAUGGGAGAAUGAGUAACGGUUCAAGCAGAAACAACUGUUGUCUCCUUCCUUCUGGAAGUUUCAUCAAAUCUAAAUUCUGGAAGAAACACGAUUCGAAGUAUUCAGCAUCGAGGCUGUCCACUUAUAGGAACAGAAAUGCAGAAGCCACAGGGAUACAAAACUCGAGGCAUCGGUUUAAUGGCUCUCCUGGAUUUAUAGUCAACCCAUUAGCUGAAAUUCGACCAGAUAAUGGAUCUGCAGGUAAACAAGCUGUGUUUUGUCGAUUCGACUCAAUGUUCUUUGUUGUAAGGAACUUAUGAAAAGAACUUAUAAUUGUUUGAUUUUGUGUUGCCAGGUAUGCCUCACAAUUGAGGGACGAAGAGAAACAAAACAUUGAAAAGCUUAUGAGACUUAAAACCACAGUGUGAAUGUGGUGAUUCAUACUGAUUGCUAAGUUAUUAUAUAUAUUACUUCUAAGUUCUCAUUCCUUCUAGUAUCUCUUUUCUCUUGAAAGUAAAUUCUACUAAUUAGAUCGAGUUCAAAGAUAUCUUCAAUGUCUCUAAUGAGUUCUUUGCUGAAAUUUCUUAUGUGUUGCUUGUUUUCAUGUUGAGUUUGCUUAUGAGGUAAAUGAGUUUCAAUUUUCAUGUAAUAUAUUACAAAUGAUGAAUUGGUAAAAUUGUAACAACUUCAAUUUUUUUUUUUUUUUUUUUCGCGUGUUCGCAUAUAAAACGAAGUGAAAAGAUAAAUAAUUCUUGAAAAAAUUGAUUAAGUAGAUCUGCCUACUAAUUUUCACGGAUCAUUGAAUAAAGGAAGUAGGUAAGUAGGUAAGUCGGUUGCAACUGUUACUUAUUGCUUACACUGUUUGCAUUAUACUGAUUAAUUAUUGUGUCACAUGUGACUUCAUGGGCAAUUAAAUAGUUUAGUAGGUCUUAAAAGUUCUUAAAAAAGAAGAAAAAAACUUUGCAUAUCACUGCUGAUUACUGAUUUAAUAUAAAAUGCAUAUUUGAGGAUGGGCAACGAAAUGCCAACAAUAAUAAUAACUAUCUGUCGUGAAUAUUUCCAAGGGUUUAGCUACAACAACUUUUCAAAAACUGAAAUAAAUCAUUUACUUUGUUCUUGAGAUUGCUAAUUCUCUAAUUUUCUACCAGGAAUUAGAACAUAUUAACGGAAUUCGAAAGAGAUACUUGAGAGUGAACUCAACAAAAGAGAGCUAAUCAUAAUGCUCAAUGAAUCAAUGGUGUUAUAAAGUGGCUUUAGAGUGAAAACAAAGAGUGAAGCUGAUUAUAAGGAAGAUGUUAAUUGAGGUUAAGACAAGACACUAGUAACUGAGUGAAAAGUGCAGGCACAGAAAUGCAUAUAGUUACUAUGUUGCAAAGUUAUUUAGAGACAUAAAGUAAAGAGAAAGGAAUCAUGUAUCAAGUCAAAAAAAAAAUCAUCACAUCUAAUAGUUGGUAUCUCUUAGAUUUGCAUUUUAGGGACUGAAACAUUGGCUACCUUAUAAAUUAUCCAAUCAAGAUUUGAAUUUGUAAACAAAGUUGGAACAUUUAUGAUUUGAUUUGAUCAUAAAAAUUGGAAAAAAAAUAAGCACAUGAGGAUACUCUGCAAGUAAUAAGAAAAGAUAAUCAGUUUUUUUUUUUUUUUUGUUGUAUAUGAUCCUUCCACUCAAAAUCAUACCAAUCCUUGAAGGGUCAAAAGGAUUCCCUUCUCUAUCUCACCCGGUUUAAAUUAAAAUAGACGAGUUUGGUUCUUCAAGCUGGAAAUAAACCGGCCAAACAAUGGAACAACGGCUCACACCAGAAGAUAUAAAGAUGAGAUUAAAAAAAAUCUUUAUCAACAGCUAAAACAGUAAAAAAGAAAUGCACAAAAGCAUCAAAUCUCUCAUUUUCUCAAACCAUCAAAAAGUGGUCUAUGCAAAAAUUGACCUUCUUUGAUGGCUCUUCUCACUCUUCUUUUCUUCUUUUUCUUCUUUUUCUUUCUUUCUUUGUUUUUCAUCAUCUUUAUGAUACAGGAGCAGCAACCAGAUUCAACUCAAGAGGCUUCAAAGCUGCCUGAACAAGCUCUUGGACAGUACGGUUACGGCGACAAACAUCUGAGAGUUCCUCAACGUGUCCUAUUAGAGAAUUCACAUCUGCUCCAUAAGCAAUAUCGGACAAUGCUUGUAAGAACUUGGUAGAUUCGGUCUCUGUCAAGGCUGUUCGAGGUAUCAGGCUUACACUUUCCUUAGCCCAACCCACUGCUUGUAACCUGUAUGUUCUUGUCAGAGCUAGCAGCGAAUAUGUUACCUAACCAAUACCCAAAACAAAAACAAAAGAAAACGGUUUCAAAGGCCAAAAAACAUCAUUCAAAAAAUGCAGCAAAAAGACAGUUUUGCUAAAUUUACCGUAUCUAGCCGAGAACUGGGAAGUGCCCCAGCUAAUGAGGCUAUCAAUAUUCUUGUGAUUGUAGCUCCCCGAGGAAUAAUAAUAUUGUCCCUGAUUAGUACGAACUGCUCUUCAUUCACAGACUUCUCGAGGUCAAAAAUGUCGGUUAAAAAGGUCAAUAUCGAGUGGCAGGCUUCUCUGGAAAAGAGUAGUUCAAAAUAUAUAGUUAAACAUCAAUUCAAAUCCCUGAAGGAAAAACAGCUUAUGAUGAACAACUUUAGAGAAAGAGAGGGUAAACCUGUGCUGCACUGUAAUUCCAAUCAUUGCGCAAUCUACAAGAGGUGGAAAUAUAGGAGACGGAAUGAAUAAAUGUGGACAGUAGCGAAGACAUCUAGACGCCAACAAAAAGCAGUCAUCGGCUAUAUCUGGUCUCGCAGUGACUUCCUGUAAGAAUAUAAACAGAGUCAGACACCACAUAGGAUUUUAAAACUAAGAGCUUGAAGAUAGUAUACUACUAUGUGAAAUUCGUCAACCUUGAUACUUGUCAUAAGACAUGUUGUAUGUGCAAAGAGGGUUUCAAUCAGGUUCUUCAAGUAGUCCGCACACGAUGGAUCAGAACCAAAAAUCUGCAAUCCCCACAAAGAUUAGAGUCUCUAAAGCUUUUCUAUAAGCAUUCCAUUGAAUGAAAAGAACACAAAUUACCUUUAUAACUUCACUGGAUAAGUAUAGAAAGCAUGGCUGAUGAUGCUGCUGAUAAUGGAAUUGAAUCUUUGCCAGCAUUUCUCCAAUUGUAUUAAUUAUGUAUCUUCCAGAAGUACGUACCUACAACCAUUGCCUUCUUUUAGUGAAGUAUCCGCUAUCAAAAAUGUCAUCCGACAAAUAGUUUUUAGAUUUUCUCUUAUGUUCAUAGACAUGGAAUGUCUAGCAAACAGAGGAACAAGAACGAGACAGGUAAAAAGACUUUAUAAACGAUGGUGUUCAGGAAUGUCCAGGAAGCAGGUAGGUAAAGAAAAAGGAAAUAAAACUCACAGCAUAUUUGCAUGCUCUGCAUAGAGAUUCCAUAGUCCUCAUGUCCCAAGGACGACUGCAGUAAAAACCAUUUCAAAAUAAGAGACCACAUAAAAAGCAAUUUGAAGAGAACAUGUAAAUCAUCAUGUGCCUAGAUUCACUUACGUAUCAAAAAUAAUUCUGAAAAUAGCCCAAUGCUUAUUAAUCUCAGCAGCCACCGCUUCAGGGUGGUUCACAUACCUAAUGUGGUAGCAUUUGUUAGUAAGACUAAACAAAACACAUGGAGAUAUAUCGCAUCAUUGAGAUAUUAUUACACAAACCUGAAGAGGAAGGCAAACCGGUCAAUAUGAACAGUUAAUUCACGUGCAUGCUUCUUCUCCAAAUCUUCUUUCGCUGCUUCCUGAUGCACAGAUUUACAGUUCCCAUCUAUAAGUCUUGGCAGUAUGUCAAACAACCACGCAAAUAGUCAAGAUGGCAAACCUCUAGAGGAGAGGCGGCUGAAAAGCAUAAUUUUUCAAGAGCGCCUUUGGCCUGAUCUAAAGGCAGUUCGGUAACAACCAUACUGCAUAAUCAAAUAUUAGAGAUGUCAUUAACACACAAAUGAGAUCUAAUCCAUCAGUCAGUUGACUCCAUACCCUAAAGCUUCGACGAGAUUUAGUGAAUCCUCAGCAGAGACUUUAUAACCACCACCGCCAUUGAUCGCCAUACAAUAGAUAUUAAACAAAUCUUCAAAAUACCCACAAAGAUUUUUUCGGCAAUCUACAAUGAAACAUUAUUUAAACAGGCAUCAGAUAUUUACAAAAGCAAAAUUGUAACAUUUUGAAUCCAAUAAAAGAAAACACCAAAGCUAAUAUAUGCAUAUCAGUUUCAACAGAAAAACACCUUCCUGUAUCUCUCAUCUUGGGGAGAAGAGGAGAGUAAAUUGAUUAACAAGAAGCAAUCAACAUUUACAUAACAUUGGCUGUUAGAUAGCUACAAGCUUUUAUUUUGUAUCAUUAUGGUUUCACACCAUAUAUCAUGAAAAGUAAUUUGAAAAUCGCAUUGACAAAACUGGAAAACAGAAUUCAGUCCAAGGAAAGCAUUCAACAAAAUUCCAAAUACUUGCCAGUAUUGCAAUGCACCCUAUAUGCUAGCAAUUCAGUAGAGUCGAAGUCAGAUCCGUUAGCGUAGGUUCCAGUCAGACCUUUCGACUAGCUGCCAUCUUUGAAGUAGGUCAGUAUGCACAAUUCAAUUGAAUUUUACAGAGGUGAGAAGUUCAUACUUCCUAAGAGAAAACUAACAACCAAAAUUUAAUUUAGUUUGCAAGUGAAGAGUUAUAAUUAUUAAACUGACUGCCUGAAUAAGUGUAGUCCAUGAAACCUUAUACAGCAGCCCUAGAGAACGUUUUUUAUAAAAGGGAAGCUGGUUGAUCCAAUAUAACCAUCAAAAUGUUGAUUUAAAUCAAAUACCAAUGCUAAAUCCUAAAACCAAAAUAUCUUUGCCAUGGUUUCAUGCAGGAAACAACAAAGAAAUAAGAUAGCCAGAUUUGUAGUAUAUGCAUACUUCUCAUAAUGUCAAUGUUAUACUCAGAAAAUAAAAAGAAUGGAUCAAAUUUGUAAGAGCGAAUACAAUACCGUCACAAAUAUGUCUAAAAGCCAAAGCUGCAGCUGCUGCACAAUCUUCAGAUGUGCCCAUUCCACUCAUAAGAAUUCUAAUGAUCGAUGGCAAUAUUGAAACACUGGCUGGUGCAGCAUUAAGCCAUUUUGAAUAUGCCCCGACAAGUAAGCAUGCUGAAAUCAAACAGGGAAGAAGAUAUCUUGCAUUAAAGAAAAGGCUUCAGACACAUUUGCUAUUCAAUUAGAAAAGAAUUAAGCAUAAAUUGGAAGGUUUCUGGAGCGUAUACGCUAGUGGUUUCCACCAAGCUACAUAUAAAACUUAGAAAGAAAACCUAUUCACCUGUCUGAAGCAGUUGCGCUUGCUGCGGAAGAUUUUGAAGCAACGCCAUCACCUGAAAGCAGAAUUUAAGAGAAUGAAAACUCCAUGCACGAGAGUUGGAAUGGAAUCCAAAUAAAGCCAUUGAAACUUUAAACACUCAUACUUUAUAAAACACGGACCUACAAGCCUUUCAUAACAUAAAAACAAUAUGGUAAACCCAUACUUCUUAGGCAGUGAGAAAAAAAAAAAUUGCAGGAACUAUGUAUAAUACAAACCUGGGGCAUCACUUCAGCUUCAACAACCGAAACAUAAUUUGAUAUUGCCCAUAUACAGAACAAAAUAGCUUCUGCUGGACGCCAAUCUUGAAAAUCAUUUCCUGUCUGAGCAUUGGCCUAAGUACAUAUUUCACAAAAUGUCAAAGAUUCUGAAAUCCAAAUGAUGUAAAAAAUGUAACUGUUUGGUGCUGAUAAUCCUAAUUGUGUUCUACACUGAUCGUAUUUAACUUUUUCAAUAUAUAAAAAUGCUGAUUCAAUAUCUCCCAAUGCUUAUUUUGUAUUUAAUGAUAGAACAGAUAGCAUGCAUGGACAUCCAAAGCACAAACCUCAAGAAGUUUCAUAUAGAGAAUCUUAAGAGUAGUAUCCCCUCCCAGGAUUAACGCUGCAUCUAUUAAUACAUCUGCAACAGCUGAAAAUGUCACAAACUUCAUCAGUAAAAUUGGAUUGACAGAGCAACGGUCCAGAGAAGUAAACAAGAAAAUGAGGCAAUUGGUACCAUCAGAGAUGAUUGAGAGCACAAUAAGUAGCACAUAUCAACAAAUGUAUGAGGAAUAAGAAAAUUAAAAGACACAUUACGAGAUACAGCACCCUACCAAAGCUAAGUGACUAAAACAACCAAAAAAACUCAGAAGAACAAUACUUUAUCUGCGUCAAGAAACAAGUGUAAAGGAUGGAAACAUAGGGAAAGAAACAGUGCUAAGCAAUCAAAUUAAGAAAAUCUAAGGUCGCGCUGAUCUAUUUAGAAAGCUCUGAGGGCUACACUUCUUCCUUAACACCCUUAUCUCGAGCGGUUUUGAUCUAAUGUAAUGUUGAGAACAAGCAAUACACGGCUUUGAUUACCAUAUCUAGUCUGCUUGAAUUCCUUAAGGUCCUCAUAUGUGAGGCCUUGAUAAUCUUCAGGAUACUGAACUCUGAAGCCAACCUGUGAAGGGAAACCAGUGUAUAGGUGACAUAAACUGCAGAGCAUACAAUAACCCAUAUGAUUUUCUAUUUCCACCAUAAGAUGAUCGACCAAAUAAAAAACUUUAGCAAUCCAGAAUUUUUUUAAAGAGCAAUAUUAAUUUAAAUGUAAGUCACGAGCUUCAAAUAUUCUUGAAAGAGUAAUACUUUAGAGUGGUAUCUGAUGACUCACUCACCAAAGAUACAAGGCUCUGAUAGGCUGGCUGAAAGAUAUGUAGUCUUCGGUUUCUCUCAGCUUCAAUGGAUGCUUCACUACCCAAGGAACUAUAAGAAUCCCUGAUAAAUUAAAAAUCUCAGCAUAUGACCCUAGGAACACCCAACAAACAUAGACAAGGCUGAAGUUACCUCUUUGUCAACAUAAGUUGAAGACUGUGCCAAAAGUUGAAGGUCAUCGAGGCUAUAUCAAAUUCUGGGUGUGCAGUAACUUCCAGCAGGGCAUGCACAAUAACCAUUGAUUCAUCUGAACCUAGAGGCAGAAAUAGUACCUUCGAACAUAUUAGAUUACCAGCUAAAGCAUUUUGCGCACCAAAAGCAAUCAAGACACAUGAAACAGAACACUUAAAAUAACAAGACAGAGAAGCAGAAAUGAGGCCGUAUACCAGUAGCUAUCAGUUCAACAUAUGAAUCGCCUACGUCAGCGAAUAAUCGACCAAUGGCUUUGACAUCUUCUUCAUCCUGAAAGUGAGAUAAUUCUAAGAAUCAAAAGAAAAAAAUACAAACACAUGCCAAAAAUUACAACUAAUUAUGAGGGAUAUCUUUAGCCACAUAUCCAAGUCAUAUAAACCGAAAAUAGCCCUUUUAGAACUACAUUUUAAUUAAGUUAAACAAGUAUAAGCCAUUAGCUUCCUACUAUUUGAUGCAUCUGAUAAAAUUUUCCCUUAAUAGAGUCCAGGAGUAACAGAAUCAUAGCCGUUCAACCCACAAUGAAGCUUAAUAUUAUGCAGAUUCAGCCAUCAACUUGUAUCAAUACCAAAGGUAAACAGUACCUUUGAAGAAUCUCUUAGAUGGGCCUUGAGACUUAAAAUCUGAGGCACAAUAACUUGAAUCAAGGGUGUUUGUGCAGAAAUACCACCAGAACUUGGUGAUGCUGUGUGAUGUAUCAAUUCAGAGAUAACUGCGAAGUUGAAAAUGAAGUUUAUCUAUUAAAACUCUAAUAAUGAAUUCUAAGGAAACAUUGACUUGUAGAUUGGAAAGGCUUUUUCUAUUUGAUAAAGAAUAAAAAAAUUCUUGCUCAUUAUAAUGAAGGUGAAUAAAACAUCUUAAGGCAAUACAGUAUACCACCCCAACACACAUCAAACACUAAUUUCCACAAUUCAACAAGAAAAGCUUAACAACCAAUUUCUAGAGGCUCUAUUUGCAAAUUCUCGAACUUAGCAUAUUCCAACUAUGAGACAACAGGUAUGCUAGAAAUUCCGCAGCUCCCAUAGAGUUCCAAUACCAGACAUAUAUCCAGGCCAAAAUAUCAAUGUGAAGUAUUCCAAGACUCUAAAGGCCUAUGUAUAUAUUAGCUUUUCCAACGAGUAUACCAUUCACAGAUGCCUCUGAGAGUGGAUCACAGUUCAAACUUGAGAGAGCUGCAUGCACCAAUGGAUGACCGGCAAGCACUGCUCCAGGAAUCCUGAGAAAGACCACCCCAAAGUUUACCAGCAUACAGUUCAGUCAGUAUCAUCGUUGCUAAGUUGAAUUGGUGAAAAUAGUCAAGGAUAGCAAGUAGAUUCCAACGGCAAUGAAUCAGAUAAAACUUAACUCUGUGUCUAAGAGAUUCUAUAUAGGACAAAAUCUAUGACCCAUAUAUCAAAACAGUUUACAACCUGAUGAACUCACAAUGAAUAUUUGUAAUCUAGACGAGCUUUUGUUCUAAAUAAAACUGGAGAUAGAACAGCAAAAAAAAAGAGCAUACCCAUGCCUAAGACGGAGCCAAGAAGCAAAUGCCUCGAGAACCUGAAAAAUCAAAAUUACAGAACACAAUUGGCAAUAAGUUUAUGCUUGCAACACCAAAGACACUAGCUGGUCCAACACACAGGAGCACAGGACAUUUUUCAGAAGAAAUAUAAAAUUUUGGUAGGUGAGUGAAAACCUAAGAUGUAAUCAAGCUUUUACAUGAAACUAGCAAUAAUGUUUUUAGAAGGCAAACAUAGACGUUGACUGGUAAAGCAAGCAAAAAUUGGUGUAAAGUUAAAAACCCAUACAUGUAUCAGAAACAUAGAAAAGGUUCUUUAAAUGUGUUAUACAGAGGGGUCAUGGAAAGUGAAUAACAAACUAUCUAUUGAACUAUGUCACGACUCUAUAUUAAAGAUAAGCUCUGACCUGUUCCUUAAGUUCGGUUAUAUUCAAACAUGCUGUUAAGAUAUUAAGUGCAGCAUCCAUUUGAGAAGUAAGCUCGUUUUCGAAUUGACGUCGUCGAUCCGGACGAGCAGCUAUUUUGUAGUUAAACGUUUCCUGGUCAUAGCAAGAAGGACAAUAAAAAAUCAAGACAUCAUAUAACAAUCUAGAUUAAAGGUAAACAUCACUAAAGAGAAUCAAGUUAAUGAAAGGGAAAGGUGGUAAGAUGUGGCAGAGAUUUGGGAAAAAUUAUAGAAUUUCCAUUUUAAUUACAAUUAAACAAUCAACAUUUUUUGCAAAUAGGACCAUGCAAAAUAGAAAGGUCUUGUCUAGCCGAUACUUAAGGGAUUGAAAUAACACUUGCAGAGAAACUUAGAACACUACUUAAACAUAAUAACGCUAACAGUAAAAAGGUACAGAAUAUUUUUGAGAUCAGUAAUACCAGCAUAACUAAGAAGUAAGCAGAUCCAAGUCAGACCAAAUAAGGCCUUUCAUAUCUAUAUAGCCGGAUACAUGAAUCCACUUUAAUUACUGAGUGAGAUGAACACUCAAACAAAGGAAUGGAAAAUACUCUACCUCGGGCAAAACUGUCAAGAGUUCCAAGAAACCAGGCACAUAUUCAGGAUGCAUGUUCAUCUCAUCCCUAAGCCAGCUAAUUAUACCGCCAUCUCCCCAAUCUGCCGCAGGAACAUGCACCGCCAAGGCAGCAACAGCAAUACUAAUCUACAAUAUAAGAUACUUAAAUAAGAUAACUCGACACAAAGUACAUGACUUUACACGCACAACAGUAAAUUCCCGCAUACGCAUAAUGGAGAAUGAUUUAUGAAGCUUACCUGGGUCCUAACUUUUGGGGGGCCUUUGUGGAACUUUUUUAACAAUGUCUGCAUUUGAGAAAAUAAUGAAAGUCAAAUUUUUCCGGGAAGGCUAAGAAAGUACUUGUCCAAUACCAAGAAUAUUAGGCCAGAAAAAUGAAAUCAUAGUAAAACCUAGAUGCCAGAAUACACUAAGCAAAACACUAGUUCAACUGACUUUUCCUAUUACAUUAUUGCUAAAAGGAACAGAAAUACAUAAAUAUUCAGAAACCCUACAACUCAUGAAAAAUUAGUUAAUGGAACGAAGACUCACCGUUAAUGAUUGCCGUAGCUUCUGAAAAGCCCCAGGUGGUAGUUCUUCAAAAUCUCGUUGAACCUUCGAGAAAGACAGAUUAAUUGUCAACAGAGUGCAGUCUCCAAGAUUGUGUGAUAAAUGAAUAACGAUUUACAAAAAAUUUCAAGUGCAUUUACCUUGCUUCGAAGGGUUUGAGAACAGAAUAUUAAAGUUUCCAAAUUGCUAGAAGAAUCAUGAAGUAAAUUAUCCGCAACCUAGAAUAGAUACAACAGUACAGAGUAAGAAACAUUGUAAAACUGCUCCACCAAACAAUCCUCUUCUCCGCAUUAACAAUCAUGUGUCUAAAAAACAACUGGAAGAGCUCAUAAAACCUAGCAAAUCGUUUAUGUAACAAGGUAGAUCUAUUCACACACCUAACACAUACUUCUUCAAACCAGCUACAAAUUGAACUUACAUGUACUGAAAAUUUGAGAUUUCUGCUAUGCAUAAGACUAUGUGACCUUAAAGAGCGAAUCGCUAGUACAAAUUGACUAAAAGGAUGAAACUUUAUGCACCUACAUGGUCUAAAGUAGCUGAGAAUCGAAUAUUAAAGCUCUAACACAAGUGCUACAAAAGAAGGAAGAACAAAUCGAACCCAAACAAAUCGAGAUUAAAUACCCGACUGAUAAAAUUAAACAAUUGAAAUCGAAAAGAAAAACUCGCCUGCCAAGCAUCGAGAGUUCCUUGGAAGGUCUGGAGCCAGCGAUCAGCUUGGACACGCACUGUAUCAUCCGGGUGAUGAUACAGUGCGUUUAGGGCUUCUUUGACCGCGUUCUGAUGCUCCAUAGCUAUAAUCCUUGAGCGUUUUUUGCUCGUACGGCCACCAAAUCACGACCACAGAGAAAAAGACCCAGAUUGAGAAAGAGAAGUAUUUGCCCAACUGAAAUUCGGGAUUUUGUCAAAUCGAUUUCGCCCAACACAAAAAAAAUUUUUUUUUUUUUUUUUUUCCCCUCUUUGUCAAAAGGGUUUUUUUUUUGGCGCCCCUCAACUUGAGUGAGAGAGAAAGAGAAAGAGAUCGAAAUUUCGGAUUUUGAUCUGAAAGAGGAUGAAGAAGAGAGAAUCUCAGCCGUUAGAUCUGAUUACUUUGACUUUAAGUCAAAUCCUUCUUUUUAUUCUGAAAGAUAUAGGCUGCAAAUGGUUGACACAAAAUACCAAGCUGAAAGAGUUGAAUGAACAUUCAACUAAUUUUUUACCAUUUGAAAUGAAAAAGUUGAAAAAAAGGAUUCAGCCCAUUCAACUUAAAAACCUCAAAAAUUGAACAAAUUUUACAGCAAAAAUGUUCAACUCAUUCAACUACAAUUUUGUAGAUGAAUUGAUUGAAUGAUUUUCAACCUAAUAUUUUCCAACUUAAUAUAUUCAACCCAUUCAAUUUUAAACAACCAUUUGUAGCCAUAAAAGUUGUUUACUUUUUUCAGUUGUUGCAAUCGAUUGUUAAAAAAACGGAUCAUUGAUUCAUCGUAACAUAAAGAUUGUACAAAGAACAAGAUUUGAGAGCAACAUAUGCGUUCUCUUGUGUCACUGAAUCAAUCGUUACAUGUUAUAACAGACAAUACAACGAUGUUUUAUAAAGUGUUAAUCUCUCUGGUCACUCUCAUAUCUAUCUUAUGAUGAUUUAACAGCAAAAUGAUACACACAGAAAAAAAAUAAAGGGUUGCAUUCAUUUUUACUGCCUACAAAACACAUCCAUCAAUCAAAGAAAGGCUUUUUUUUUAUGUAGUUCGGUUAAAGUUCCCAUCAACCUGCAUAUGGAGCCACUCCGGUUGAGAUACUCGGGUUUCGUUAGCUUCCUGUUGCUCAUAUAUUGUUCGAUGAACGUCAAUCGGUAAAGUCCCGAGCUGAUACAACACCAAGAGCUUUGAGAUUUAGUAGUUUUGAUCAUGAAUGGUUAUGUUUUUCUAUGUUCUUUCAGAUUUGGGACUUACAUCACCAGAAGGAAAAACUCCUAUUGUUGGACCAGUACUUGCACCCGAGUUAACAACUUCUAGCUUCAUUGACAGAAACUGUAGACCAAAUUCCAUGUUUAGACAUGUACAAUUGAAACAUAUAACAGAGAGGAGUUAACGACUUUUACCUCAACUUGCCGCUGCAACGACUGAAUAUAAUUGAUAAUCUCAUCGAGCACAAGGGCUUUUCCGAUUAUCUGAAAUCAACGGAAAUAUCUUGUUGAGUGUUUUUAAGGCUAUAAGAACAUCAUUCGCAAGACCAUAAGAAAACAGACUUGUCAUGUACCUUGUUACAUCCUGGAAUUAUAUCUUGAAGAGCUGUCAUCUUCUCACUGAUCUUUUCUCUUCUAGCCUGUCAAAGACAACAUUGUGUUUCUAAUAAAAGGAACAGUUUUUGAGGAUAAAAAAUUGGUAAUUCAGCAGAAGAAUUACUCGCUCUGCUAGACUAUGCCGGUCAGUAGCUUGUCCUCUUCUUGCUCUCACAUGGAUAUAAUCCUUUGGUGGCUCAGGUUUGUUCUUCUGUUCCGUUGCUUUGCUUCCACCACCACCACCCGAACUUGUUUCGCCUUCAGGUCUCAUCGAACCAUCUCCAUUUCCACUUUCAGAUCCACACAGUUUUCUUUUCUUAUCGCCUGAUUCUUUCUGUUAAAAAAAGUAAACAGAUGGAAAUGCUUAAGAUCCUAAACCAAACUCUCGAUCUAAAAUCACUUAAGCGAUAUACAGAGAGAAACAAUGAGCAUUGACCAUUCCAACAUCUAUCAAACUAACGGUCUUUAAGCUCAAUCCAACUAAGUCAAAAAGUCAAAGGAUAUAAGUCAUCUAAUCUAUAAACUAAUCCUUGAUCCCUAAAUCAAAGACUUAUGCUUUGACUCAUUGAUUUCUUAGAUCACCUCCAAGCUAAGGAUCUAGAUUCAAACUUUAGUUACAGAUUCAAAUACUCAAAUCAAAAUCAGGGCUUUUCAAAAAUUGAAGUGCAAAAGCUCACCAAUUCAUUACCACUGCUGCUGGAAGAAACCAUCUUUGAAGAAUCGUCCUCAGAGUUCAAAUCUCUAGUCUUUCUACCUCCCCAGCCAGCAGUUAGAUCGGUGACAGUAGAUUCCUCCGCCGCGGAGACGUCUUUAUUGCCGGAAUGUUCAGACCGAGUGAAGACUCGACCGGAGUUAACGGCUAAACGGAGACCAGAGCGAACGGCGUCGUUUACAGGGAAAGGCCAAAUCUCGGAGAGAGUGUAAGAAGAAGGAUUAGCUGCGGAGAAGGAGGAAUCGUUCACAAGUGGAGGGUCCAUUUCCGAUGAUCGUAAAAGGGUUGACCCAGAUUUAGGACCCGGAUCCGAGAAGUGAGGAACUUGAUAGAAAAAGAAGGAAAAGGUUUGAGCUUUGCGAGGUCUUGUCUUGUUUAUAGGGUUGUGUAUGAGGUGGACAAAUAGAGAGAUAGAUCGGAGAAGGUAAGAGAUAUGAGGCAAGUGAUAAUGCGCCACUAAGAUGCAAUUGAAGACAAAUCUCUUUUAAUUACAGUACACAGUUUACAGCUACUGUAUAUAUUGCCGUUUUGUUAAUACAAAUUACAAUUAUAUAAAAAAAAAAUAUAUGAGAACAGAAAAUGAUGAGAAAAAUUAUUGAAUAAAAUAGGUAGAUUUAUACGAUGACCUAAAUAAUUUUAAAAUUAACCAAAGUAACCCCCUCACAUAAAUAAACUUUCUUUAGUAAUCCUUGAUUGAUUUAUUAUUUUAAUCAAAGUUGUCAUUUAAUCCAAGUGAUAUUCAUUAGUUCUUUUUUUCUAAUUAGAGUUAAAGUUUUUUUUACUAGACAAAGUCUUUGUAGUGGCAAUGAUUCAAGUGUAUGUAUAGUGAGAUAUAUCAUCUCUUCAAAUGUCAACGAAAAUCUAAAAGAAUAUUACCAGAACUGUUCCACCGCCGGUAUUGGAGUCUUCUACUUUCAUUUUCUUGUUGAAAUCGAAGACUUUGGUUCUGAUAUAGUCUUCUUUGUUCCUCAGCCAAGUCCAAACCUUCUUAAUGACAAGAGAGUCGUGGACUUUCAGUUACGCUGUUCUUGAUGUUUUUAUUCAACGUCGCAUUAUUUUAACCAAAAAUAAGUUAAAUAUUAGUUGUUCUUGAUUUGUUUUUUGUCAGUCGUUUCGCUUUUUCUUAAUAAAAAAUAGAAUUAGGGAGUCCAAUGAUGUGGGUAAGUUUCUUCUCUUGAUGGGUUCUUUCUUGUGAAUUGUUAAAAGAUGAUAUGAUGAGCCUAAACAACGCCUUUUGUAUAUGUGUAUGUGAUAUGCAAACAUAUAUAUGGUUGGUAAUGACGCGCAACAUUAACUUUGUUGAUGGAUGAUAGUCUAUAAUGGAGAUAAGUAUAUAUGGCUGUGUGGAUUUCGUGAAUAAUAAGCAUUUGAUCAUCCGUGAAAGAAUAAUUACUCAUUUCGUAACGGAGUUUGUAUAUACUAAGAUUUCAUUUUGAUUGACCUUCUAUUCCUUGCUACAGAGUUUCAAUGCUGUUAUCAUCUAGCAAAGACAUCGAUGUCCAAUACAUAGAUUUUUUAAAGUUAUGUAACAUGAGCUAGGCUAAAAUAUAUGACGUCAAAUCACGAUGUGAAAUUAGAUGGAUUUUUGUUUAAAUAAUUUAUAACACGAGCAAGGCUACAAUAAAAUGUUUAACUUCCGUGUCUUUUUUUUUUUCUUUACAAAAAAAAAGUGUAUCUUGAGCAAUGAGCAUAUACGGUCUUUCAAUUGUGAUCAUCUUAAGUUCUUGUGAUAAUGGACCAUAAAUUAAAUUUUAAUUGCUUAAUCACAAAAGCCAAAUUCUAGCUAGCUAAAUAUAUAAAACGCUAACAUGAAUGAUAGAUAUGACAUGUUUUAGUUUUUUUGUUUGUUUGUCGGCGAUCUUCAUAGUUUAUAACUUUCCAAGGUAGUUGCGAACAAAUACAAAGAGCCAAGAGUGUAAUUUUUCGUUUCGAUGGUUUCAAGUUCAGCCUUGCAUGCUUAACAAAGAUCACCUUCUUAUUUUCCCAAUCUGAACAUUAAUUGUGUUCUUUAACAAAAAUAAAAAUAAUAAUUGUGUUUGUUUUCGUAUUUUAUAAAUUAAUUAUGAAUAUAGAAAUAUCAACGUUUUAAAACAAUUUAUAACAAAAAAGCUCUUAAACCUAUUUAUUGAAUUAAAACUUAAAAGUCAAUUCUAUACCAUUGACUCCAUCGUUUGAAUGCUCUAAAUGUUUAGCACGAAAAAGUUCGUCUCAAUAGUUAAAGACCAAACAAAUUAGAAAUUGAUCGUUUUUGGGCAAUUUUUUUUUAAAAAAUUAUUUAUUGUUAAUUAUACAGAAAGUCGAAUUAAGUGGAAUGGUUUUUUAUUUAUUUAGAUGAAUAAUAUAAAGGCGGAAAAGACAAGUGGAGAAAGAGAAGACACCUGGAUGCAAAGGUGUCACACAUGAAGCCCAAUUUCAUUGUUUCCAUUUUCCCAUAAAGCCUUUGGUGGUCCACUUUUAUUUUUUUCCUCUAUUUUUUUUUAAAAAACAAGAAACACUAAUUUGAUUAUCAAUUUCUUCUGUUUAAAUUUUGUUGUUGCACAAAAAAAAAAAAUUAUUAGUUUGGUCUUAAAAUUUAGAAAUAACAGAGAAAAUUCAGAAAAGUCAAAAAUAACAUGAGAAUAGGAAUCCUUUGUGACUUCAUUGGUGAUGCAAUGACACAGUUGGCCGAUUUAGCACCGACUAAGUAGACAUUAAUCAAUAAUAAUUUAAAUUUUAAAAAUAAGAAUCGUAUCUACUAAAAAAUGAAAUACGAUAAUUAUUGUUAAAAUUCAUAUAUUAAUAGCUAAUUUAUAUAUACAUUUUUGAUCAUAAUUAACAAAUAAAUCAUGAAGUUGAGAAGUAUUUACAAUGACAUGCCAUUAGCAUUAAUUAUUUAGAUUUGUUUUAUUUAAGUAAAGAUUUUUAAUUGAAAUUCAUUUCUCAUAUAUUUAGCAAAAGUCUCUACAAAAUCUUUCCUUUUCUAUUUAAGUAAAGAUUUUGAAAUCAAAUAUGUUUUCAACAAUUUACCAAAAAUUUAUACACAAUCUUUUUAAAAAUCUCGACUUAGUUAACUUCUGAUUUUUAUCUGCAAAAAAAAAAUUAAUUGUAACGAGUGAUGUAAAAAUCGGGAAUGUUGAUACUACAAUUUCUUCUACUUCUUUUUUUUCAUAUAAUGAAAAUUAUUUUUUAGAGAUAUUUUCUUAAAACCUCUAAACAAAACAAAGGGUUUCAAAAGAUAGCUUCUCUUUUGGUGGGUCGACCCGCAAACCCGCAACUCUCUACGGGUUUAUCCGCAUGAACCUGCGACCCGUAGUGGAUAAAAAUAUUAUUCAAAAAAAUAACAAAUGAUGUUUGAUUUUACGGGACGGGGUUAUAUGGUGCAACGGGUUUAGAUCAAUAUUAAUAUUAAACAAUAUACUAUGCAUGAAAUCCUAGAAUUAAAAAUCAAAAUUUAAUUAUAAAAUCAGAAACACUAAACAAAAUAAACAAUAUUAACAAAACAAAUACAACUUAAAGUUUUGCAAAAUAAUUUUUUAGUUAUAAAAAAAUCGACCCGCGGUGUACCGCGGGGUAAAGUCUAGAUUUGGAAGUUUAAGGAAGAAAUUUUUUUAAAAAAAAAUAAUAGCUCCGCGGUGUACCGCAAGAAAAAUCUUUAUCCUAACUGAGGCAAGAAGAAGAAAAAAGCCAAAUGUCAUUUAAAUGUAUAUAUAGAUACUCAACACUAUUAAUAUAGAUAUAUGGAUGGUAUAUUUAUAAAAUAGGUCGAAAUAUUAUAUUAUACUCUUUAUUAAUAAACAAAACUAAUUAUAUUUAGAAUUUAAAAAAAAAAAAUUAUAGCCCCGCGGUACACCACGGAUUCAAAUCUAAGUCAUUUUACAUUCUGUGAUCAAGACGAAAACUUUGAUUUGCUUAACCGUUUUAUCUUAUACUUAAUUCGGACCGUUUUUUCUAUUGGUGGAACUAAUUUAGCCAGAAUAUUAAAAUUACUUUAAAUCACACCGUUUCAAUAAAGAUAAAUCCAACGAAUCUAUAACUUUAAUCGAAAACUAAAUUAAAUAAGGAAAAAAGAAAGAUUUAAAAGCGAAGAAAAGAUUCGAAAAAGAGAGAUGGACCAAAACGGCGGUUUAUUCGGACGUCAGCAGCACUAACUAAGAAAGAAAGAAGAGAGGCUUAAGGCUCUUCUCUUCUCUUCUUCCUUUUGCUUCCUUCUCCAAAUUAUCCUGACGCGUCUCUCUUUCUCUCUAGAAGACUAAAAUUUUUCCUUUUUAUGUUUCUUUUGGGUUUUGAAUUUUCUCACCAAAGAUUUGUCUUUUCCAAGGAAAGUUCUUGAUUUUUUCUCUUCGUGUUUUAAGGGUUUUUCAAUUGAAACAUUUUCAAUCUCCGAAUUUUUAGUAACCUAACCACAUCAAUCUACUGAUUGUUUUCCGUUCAUCGUGAUUUCUCAAGAUUUGAUUUUUUUUUUUUUUUUUUUGAAAAUUUGAAUUUUGAGAUUCUGUUCCUCUUUGAUCAUCAUCACUAGGGUUUCUGUUUCCAGUAAAAAAGUUUGGAUUUUUCUUGGUAUAAUUUAGGAAUGAGGAAGCCCAAGUUAUCGAAACUCGAGAGGUUAGAGAAAUUCGACAUGUUCGUCUCUCUUAGCAAGCAGAGAUCUGUUCAGAUACUAAUGGCGGUUGGGUUACUCUACAUGCUUCUAAUCACAUUCGAAAUCCCUUUCGUCUUCAAAACCGGGCUUAGUUCCUUGUCUCAGGAUCCGUUAACCCGACCCGAGAAGCAUAAUAGCCAACGAGAAUUACAAGAGAGACGAGCUCCGAGUCGACCUUUUAAGAGUCUGCUUUACCAGGAAUCACAAUCGGAACCACCGGCUCAAGGUUUAAGAAGGAGCACUCGGAUCUUAUCUAGUUUGAGAUUUGACCCGGAAACGUUUAACCCGAGUAGCAAAGAUGGGUCAGUGGAGCUUCACAAAUCCGCUAAGGUAGCUUGGGAAGUUGGUCGAAAGAUAUGGGAAGAGCUUGAGUCUGGGAAAACGUUGAAAGCUUUGGAGAAGGAGAAGAAGAAGAAGAUUGAGGAACAUGGGUCAAACUCGUGCUCUCUCUCUGUUUCCUUAACCGGGUCUGAUCUUUCGAAACGUGGGAAUCUCAUGGAGCUUCCAUGUGGUUUAACUCUUGGGUCACAUAUUACAGUGGUUGGGAAGCCAAGAGCUGCUCAUUCGGAGAAGGACCCGAAGAUAUCGAUGUUAAAGGAAGGAGAUGAAGCUGUUAAGGUUUCACAGUUUAAGUUGGAGCUUCAGGGUUUGAAAGCAGUUGAAGGAGAAGAGCCACCUCGGAUCCUCCACUUGAAUCCAAGGCUUAAGGGUGAUUGGAGUGGUAAGCCUGUCAUUGAGCAGAACACUUGUUAUAGAAUGCAAUGGGGUUCAGCACAAAGAUGUGAAGGAUGGAGAUCUAGGGAUGAUGAAGAGACUGGUUAGUAUAUUUAUUUGUUCGAAAGCAUUUAUUUUUCAUCUGUUGGUUCGCUUGGUGUUUGUGUUGGGGAUACUAAUUAGUAAGAAUGGGUGUAGUUGAUGGUCAGGUUAAGUGCGAGAAAUGGGCUCGAGAUGAUAGCAUUACAUCUAAAGAAGAGUCUAGCAAGGCGGCUUCAUGGUGGCUUAGUCGAUUAAUAGGUCGGAGCAAGAAAGUAACUGUUGAAUGGCCAUUUCCAUUCACAGUUGACAAGCUUUUCGUGCUUACACUUAGUGCUGGGUUGGAAGGUUAUCAUGUUAGUGUCGAUGGGAAGCACGUUACGUCCUUUCCAUACCGAACUGUAAGUGAUGUUUUGCCCUGACUUAAACUUGUUGUGGUUCGAUUAGUGAUUGGCAUGAACUGAUGAUUGUCUAUGUGGGUGUUUUGUUGGCUAUAUAUGAAGGGAUUUACGCUUGAGGAUGCUACUGGUCUAACCAUUAACGGAGACAUAGAUGUUCACUCGGUUUUCGCUGGCUCUCUCCCAACCUCGCAUCCUAGUUUUUCUCCUGAGAGGCACCUUGAGCUCUCGAGCAAUUGGCAAGCCCCAUCACUUCCUGAUGAGCAAGUUGAUAUGUUCAUUGGUAUCCUUUCUGCUGGUAACCAUUUUGCUGAGCGGAUGGCUGUGAGGAGGUCGUGGAUGCAACAUAAACUCGUGAAAUCUUCCAAAGUAGUCGCUCGGUUCUUUGUUGCACUGGUAAGUUUAGACUAAUUUACAAGUGAUCUGAUUUUGGUCUUCUAGGUUAAAUUAAAGAGCUUUACAUAUCGAAUUGCUAGCUAAACUCAGGUGUUUAUUUGGGCAGCACUCGAGGAAAGAAGUAAAUGUGGAGCUAAAGAAGGAAGCUGAAUUCUUUGGAGACAUAGUUAUAGUCCCUUACAUGGACAGUUAUGACCUUGUCGUCCUCAAAACCGUUGCAAUUUGCGAGUACGGGGUGAGUCCCGCUGAUUCUAAGAUUCAACACUUGAUGCUGUGUUUUCAAUUAUUCAAUAUAGGUAAAGAGUUUCUCUACUCUUUGUUUUGCAGGCUCAUCAACUUGCUGCUAAAUUCAUCAUGAAGUGUGAUGAUGAUACAUUUGUACAAGUGGAUGCGGUUCUUAGUGAAGCGAAGAGAACACCUGCCGAUAGAAGUCUAUACAUUGGCAACAUCAAUUAUUAUCAUAAACCACUCCGCCAGGGUAAAUGGGCUGUUACAUAUGAGGUAAAAAUUUAUAAUCUUUUUGCUUAAAGAAUCAUUUGUAUCCGUUCUUUCCUCAUAUGAAUUCAAAAGUUAAUGUUACAUUAUCUGUUUUUCCAGGAAUGGCCAGAGGAAGACUAUCCACCUUAUGCUAAUGGCCCUGGAUACAUAUUAUCAAACGAUAUCUCUCGCUUCAUAGUGAAAGAGUUUGAGAAACACAAAUUAAGGGUACGCUGCAACAGAUUUUCCCAAUCAACGUUACCUAAUCAAAUUCGAAACAGAACAUAUGCAUCUAUAUAACUAGUCUUUUUUCCUUUCUCUCAUUCUUGAUACUACAGAUGUUCAAAAUGGAAGAUGUAAGUGUGGGAAUGUGGGUAGAACAAUUCAACAAUGGUACAAAACCGGUGGACUACAUUCACAGCCUCAGGUUCUGUCAGUUUGGUUGCAUAGAGAAUUACUUGACGGCGCAUUAUCAGUCGCCAAGACAGAUGAUAUGCUUGUGGGAUAAGUUGGUGUUGACAGGCAAACCUCAGUGCUGCAACGUGAGAUGACACAUACCAAAUCCUCUGUUUCUCUUUGGUUUAUAAGAGGAAAUAGAAAUUCGAAGAGGUUUUUUGGGUUUUUUUUUUGUUGAGUAGCAUUUUAUAGAUAUAGCUUUGGUUGUAUUAUAUCAUCUUGAUCUUAAGCAACGAAUCUAAAAUAGAUGUUAUCUUUUGGUCGAAUUCUCUAUUAAUAUUCUUUCUUUCCUUCUAUUUUGGAGAUUUAAGUCGACAAAUCUCGUACUACUACGUUAAUUAACUACUAUGGUUCUACACUCAGAGUUGGCAAGAUCAUUAAAUCUAGUUUGUUUUGUGCAAGAGAGAAAAAGAUGAUGUUAAAUCUCUCUUGACUAAACUUUUUUCUCUUACCACAAAAAAAAUUAUUGUAUGAAGGUGCGAGAUUUGGGAGUAUUUUUGGUGUUUUGAUUUUUCAUGAAAGGUCAUUUCUUUUUUUUUGGUUGGUACACUUUUAUGCGAAAUUUAUGAGAUUUUACUAGCAAAGGAACUUCUUAAUUUUUCAUACUUUGUAUGUAUAUCAUAAUUUUCAAAAUAUAUUUUAACAUCAACCAAUUAUUUUCAAAGUUGACCCCUACGAAAUAAAAAAAUAAUACGUAAUAUUGAAGAUAUUUUUCUUGUAAGAAAUUGAAAAAAAAAGAAUUUUGAAUAACAUGUAAUAAGCCAUAAUCAAUUUUUUGCAACAUUAUUUUAAUUCUAUAAUAUGUAUAUUAGUUUAUAUGGCCUGAAUUUUAAUUUCUCUUUUAACUUCUUUUGAAAUGAUAAUUUAGCCCAUCCCAUUACCGCUUUAAUUUAUCUCGAGCUAACUAAAGCAGGUUCUCUUCUCUUCACUACGAUUUUAUGAUCAAUUUCUACUGAUCAUCGAUGCUAGAGAUUCUAGUAAUGAUACGGUGAUGAUUUCAGUGUGUUUAAGAGUUUUAUUUCAUCAAUCUUAGUUGUUCAUUUCGAUUCACUUCAAUUUUGAUCAAAUUCUACUUCUCUUCGAUGCUAUGGAUUCUAGUGACGAUUUCUUUGUGUUUUGAUAGUUUGAAUCCAGAUCAUGAUAUGCUUAUUUUGAUUUCGCGAACCAAGCUUAGAGAUUCUAUUUUGGCAGCUAACUAGCUACUUUCUCUUUGUGAACUGUUGAAUUUGCACUAGAUCUGUUUAUGAUUUUUUUUUUCUAUAUACACUAUAAUAUCAAAUGGACUUUUAAAAUUUUUCAAUUACUUUACUUUGUAUGUAUAUCUUAAUUUUUAAAUACAUAUUUUAACAUCAACCAUCUGUGAGAUUUAUUUGCAUGACAUAAAUAAUUUGUUCAGGUUUUCUGAUAAUGAUUGUGAAUCGAAUCAUGACAUUAAUCAGAAAUAUAUAUAUUUUAACAUCAACCAUUUGUGAGAUUUAUGUGCAUGACAUAAAUAAUUUGAAUGUAUGACUCGAUGCUUGAUAUCUGGGUAAAAAUUUGUUGCUUAUUUACUUGUUUUUGACUUUUGUAGCUCAUGGUGUCCCUGACGAGCAUGUUUUUAUCUUGGCUCCCUUAUUGUUGCAUCCCCUUAUUACGUUCUAUAUUAUGAUCCGAAAAAAAAUGAUUUGAAAAAGUUUAGAAUCAGAAGAAUACUGGCACAAUGGCUUCGUAAGCUUGAUGACACCAACUUACUUUUUAUUUAUUUCGAUCUUAUGGAUGAGAGUGAAAGUAUCCUGCACUUGGAAAUUUGAAAUUGUCAUGUCGACAUUUCCUACCUUCAAUACAUUGGGAACUAUUUAUUUUGUAAUUUUGUUUUAUUUAUGUUAUUGUUUUUUUUUUUUUGAUAUUUUGGAUUUUGAUCUUACCUUUGUUUUUUAUGGUGACAAAAUUGACUUUGAUCAAAAAUCAUCUUACUAAGAAGAAUAAGAAACAUGGUAGCUAGUAUAUUAUGAUUUAUUGAUUGAUUUUAUUAUAAAUAAAUUUAAAUUUUUGUAUAAGUUAAAAAUGAAAAAAAACUUUACUUAAUGUGAAACAUAAGGAGUAUGAGUUUCCCAUUAUGUUUAAUUGAACUACUGAUUUAUUUUUACCAAAAGAAAAAAAAAAAAUUAAUUGUUUUCAUUAGUAAGUAAAAGUUAUUUUACGUAAACCAUGUUCGGCCAACCUCUUCUAAUAUACGUUGGAAGGCUAAGGCCCAAACUUUAAUUUUUGCGCUGCAGCAAAGCUGAAUGCCUUUUUAAUCGUGGCCCAAAUAAUAAGUAAUGGGCUUUGGCCUUUUCUGUUUUACCCAUCCGACUCCAUUUAUACCGGCAAUUGUUUCUAAUUUUCAAUUGAUUUUGAAAUUGAAAAUCAAAAAUGAGGAAGAAGCUUGCUUUGGCGCUGAGGCUGAAGCUCAUGAAGAAAUCUGGGAAGAAGAACCUCACUGCUGCUGCUGAAACAAUCCUGAAUGGUAUGCUGCAGAUCUAUGGUUCUUCUGUCUUCGAUUCUUUGAACUUGUUAUGGAUACUGAGAUUUUCAAUUUCAGUCGUCGAUCCUUAAGGUUUUCGAAUUUUGUUAUAGAAUCGGCAAUGAGUACCAGUAUCGUUUCUGGAAACGCUUCAUCUGAGAAGCAACACAGUGAUUCCGAUUCCGAUUCAAUCCCGAGCAAAGGUAUUUAUCAGAUCUGUAGUUAUGAAACCUGAGAUUUCGAUUCAGUAUAUGAUUCUUACGGUUUCCGAUUAUCUUUGUUGUAUAGAAUCGUCUUAUGAAAUGGCUUCCUCUGAUGAUAAUCUCACUGAUAUUGAAGUCUCCAACGGUGUGUUUCAUAUCUACUGUUCUUUUGUCUUUGAUUCUUUGAUUCAUAGAUAGCAACUUAUAUAACUAUCUAAGCUCUUCUCGGGUUUGUAUUCUCAGAACGGUGUGUUGGAUUUAUGUUACAUAUAUUCUCAGUGAGAACCUAUAUCGAUUAGAUUUAUGUUAUAGUUUAGUAUCGCAUAUAUUGUUGCUUGUGUGUGAGAUUUAAAACUGGCUUAUGAGUUAUAUGCGAAUACAUACCUUUUGCAAGGGUAUAUGAUCAUUCCAUUGCUCUGCACUCAUCUUCUCUCUUUUUUUUAUGAACCAGUUGGUACAUCUCUCCCACGCUCUGAUUCUCAGGUUGUGCACGUCAAUGGGCAGCCUGGUACAUAUUAAACUUUAUCUUCUUCUUUGAUUUGGUUUUGUUUUUGACAAUACAGGAUUGACUGGGAUCAAUUUGUUUCCAGCUCAGAUUGUUUAACCGAUAUUUGAUUCUCAGUUAACUUAAGAUUUAGACAAAUGGUCUUUUAUUGUGAACAUAAGAACCUGUUGGAUGUAUGUUAGAUAUAUUCUCAAUGAGAACCUAUAUCGAUUAGAUUUAUGUUAUAGUUUAGUAUUGCAUAUUGUUGCUUGUGUGUGAGAUUUAAGAAUGAACAUUCCAUUGCUCUGAUUUUCUCUUUGCUAAUUCUUGUAUAUCUUUAGUUCAGAUCUGAGCCUAGGAUAAGUUUGGUGCUGAAAUUUUACAAUUUGAAAUAGCAAAUCAAAAUAGUAUGAAAACAUUCUUACUUUAUUUCUCAGAUUUACCUCCGUCGUUUGAUAUGGUGGAUUCUGAUUAUUUCCUGUAUCUUUUUUUUUGUUUGUUGUGACAGGUCUGACUGUCAACAGAAACCAUCUGAUCAGAGAUCUCCCACGCCCUGUUCAACGUCCUCCUGUUGUGCAAGUGUCUCAGCCUCAACUUAGCCGGUCUGCAAGGAAAAAGCUCAAUAGAGGUCCUGGGACCAUGAGCCUCACUGCAGCACAGAAGAGGAUGUUUGGUCAUAGGAAGGGUAAGAAGAAGCACCGUCGUCGGAAGUAUGGUCAUAGCUAUUAAGCUCCCAGCCAGCAAAACAGGGAUGCAUCUUGCAGUGAGCUCAACAAGGAUUUCUAAACUCUCAUUAUAUCCUGUGAUUGAGCGAUACACUGGUUUUGGUUUGUGAUUUCGGAUUUACCAUGUGCACCUUUUGCAAAACAUGGAUUUAGAUUGCAGUGAGCUCAACAAGGAUUUCUAAACUCUCAUUAAAUCCUGUGAUUGAGCGAUACACUGGUUUUGGUUUGUGAUUUCAGAUUUACCAUGUGCACCUUCUGCAAAACAGGAAUAUACUUGGUGUCUGUUUUGGAUUUAAGUAAUAUCUGCUUCUCUCUUAAAUAUCUUGGUCUAUUGCAGGCAAAUAUCACUUCCAAAAUAUGUUGUCAAAUAAUCAGAUAUUUAGUCAUUGUAACCAAGCGAACACUGUUCACUGAUUCCUCUCUGAAAUUCUUCUUGUUCUUACAUUUGCUCAUCCGAUGACCUCCUGAUGCUUGAUAAGACGAAUAUAUCUUGUUGCAAAACCUGCAUUGAUGCUCAACGUUCUUCUUAUCAGAUUCAGUGAUCAUCUCAGUAUCUGAAUCAGAACACUCCAUAGCUCCUACUCCAAGCUCAGUUCUGUAAUACCCAGUUUUCCAAGUCACCAGCUUUUCGCAGUUUCCGCUGUUCCAAUUCAAUCUUUGUUCCCAAGAAACUCGCUGGUUCUUUCCAUGUCCCUUCCAUCAGUUUUUGCUCAUUACUCAAAGAACCAAAUUCACCUCCAUUUCGCAGCUUCUGCUGAUCCAAAACACACUUGUAUCCCAAGAAACUUGCUGGACCUUUGAAUGUAACAGGAGUAGUAAUCUCUUCUUUUAGCAUUCUUUGCUCAUUACUCAAAAACCCAGAUUCAAAUUCACCAGCUUUUCUUCGUUUCUGCUGAUCCAAUCUGUUAUCAUCUCUCAAGAAGCUAGCUGGUUCUUUCGAUGUUCCAUAACUACUAAACCUUUCUUCCAUAAAUCUUUGCUCAUCACUGAAAACCCCAUAUUCAAAUUCACCACCUUUUCGCGGUUUCUUGUUACGCAAACAACCCAAAUCAUAGCUACUUUUAGGUGUUUCAUGAAUCAUGAGUAACAUGUACUGCCUCAGCAAGAAGUUUCAGUCCGUCUACAAACUUGGGAGUACUCUCAGACAAUAGAAUCAAACAAUCCGCCACUUCUAAUUCUUCAUCAUUCGCAUCAAAAACAGAACGCGGUUCAAGAAAUGUACUAUACGAACAAGAAAAUGAAGUCUUCUUAUACCUAACAAGUCUCGAUCUUUUCUUCUUCCUCACAAAACUGAAGAUACGACACAGAGUCAUCAUGGAUUCUUCAUAAACCUUCUGGUUCGUCGAUAAAUGCAUCGUCGCUCGAUGAUUUGAAAAACAUUUCUCGUACCGAAACCCUUUUCCACAUUCUUCGCAUCGAAACAAAAUCUUCUUCAUUAGUUCCGGAGAUUCCAGGGUUUUCUUCUUCGGGUUUUCCCUUAUACCGUAGUAACAAGUAAAAUCUCGCUGUUGGUUUGUUGCGUGACUGAGUAAUCUUCAGAUUUCGCAGAGCUCCAUAGAUGGGUUUAUGUAGAAGAUCUUGGUGUUCUUCUUCCAUUUAGGCGCGAAAUACACGGGGUUUGUUGAUAAAGAAGAAGUCAAUGAAGACGAGGUAGAUGAUGUAGAGGUAGAUAAUAAAGCAACAAACCCAAUCCGGACUCAUUAUCAAAGAAACUCUCAGAUGAGUUGAAGAAAUAAGGAGGAUUAUGCUCUGUUUCUCGUCACUUUCCUGAGAAAUACUGAGAGAGAAAGUGUCGAAGAAACAGAGAAGCUUGAGACUAUCGAAUCAAACGAAAGAAUACAAACAUUUUGAGUUUCUGUGACUUUUCGGGAGAACAAGUGAGCGAGAGGAAUGGAGGAAACAGAGAGAAGCGGAGAAGAUAUAAGCACUGAGCGAAGUAACGUCGUGAAAGGGGCAUUAUAGUAAAUCGUCAAGAACAGAGGAGCGAAACUUUAUUUUUCGACUACAAGGUUCCACGUGGCACAUCAUGACCGUCGAGGCGUCGACUAAAUUGGAAAAAUAAUUUAACAGAAUCUUUUACUCAUAUUAGAAACUGAAGUAGAAAUCAGCUAGGGAAAGCUUUUAUAUUAUGAAAAUAAUACUCGAAAAGCUUUACAAUAUUUGAUAACCCAAGGUACAUAAUUACCAACAAAAACCAAACCUAAAAUCUCUGUUGGAAUUCAUAAAACCAAGAAAAAAAAGCGACAAUUAUUGAUCAAAACAUAGUUAAAGAUAUAUGGAAAAACUCAUGAGAAUUAGGAAAAAAUGGAGAAAAAAGCUAAGGAAGAGGUUUGGUUGUUGUUGAGGCAAGAGCAGGCAUGUCCUUGAGCCACUGGUCCAAUGGCUUACCAAUGGAGUAAACAAUAAAUCCAAUCUGCCUGAGUUUAUCAGCGUCGACCACGUUUCUACCGUCAAAAACAAAAGCCGGUUUCUGCAUAUUCUCAAAGAUCCGUUGGAAAUCGAGUUUCUUGAACUCAUCCCACUCGGUUAAAAUGCAGAUACCUGGGCGCCCAUGCUAAUUGAAAAAGUGGAGUCAUAUAUAUACACUUUAGAUCAAGAUAUCAGAAACCCUUAAAUGAAAUCUGUGAUAACAAAGCACUAUCAAAUGAAAAAUAGUAUUAAGGUACGAAAGAAAGGAAUGAAAUUAUGUAGAUAACAACAGCGUGGCAUCUUGUGAGUAUGUGCAAGUCAAACACACAUAACAGGAAGAUGAUGGAUGAUAUAUUUGUAAAAGUGGAUGUUGUUCAUAGUAAAGCAAAGAAAAUAACCGCGGAUGGAAAAGUCACAAACCAGCUCCAUCAGGGUAAAUAGACUGGCUUUUACAUAUGUAGGUAAAAAUUUUUUUAUGGUAUUUGCCUUAAAAGAAUCAUUUAGAUCAGCUUGUUUCAUUACAUUAAGUUCACAAGUUAGUAUUCAUUCUUUAACAAAUUUUGAAGCAAUCCGCUAAUGGCCCGGGGUACGUAUUAUCAGCCUAUCAUCAUCUCUUGCUUCAUCAUAAAAGAGUUUGAGAGCACAAAUUAAGGCCCAAUUAUUGGUAGCCCAAAGAGUUUACUACUUUUCCUUAGACUAGAGCAAAGACAAACGACGUCGUUUGGGUGUAAGAAGAAAAUUGCCAAAGAUUUUGAAAACCUAGAAUCGUGAGCUCAGCCUGCUCGUCUUCUUCCUCUGUUUUUGUCUCUCUUACUCAGAUCUCAAAAAGAGCUUCUUUAUUUUUUUUUUCCUUCCUUUCCUUAGAAAAAAGAGUAAAUUUUUAUCAAAAUUUCCAGCUCUGAUAUAAAAGUUUGUGAAAUUAGUAGCUAUUGUUAUGUCUCUAGCUCUGAUUUCAUCUUUUCAAUGGAAGAAAAAGUCGUCAAAGGCAAUGAGAAGAAGACGAGGGGACGAUUGGUUCGCAUCGGAGAUUCCUUUGGAUCUCCAGAUCGAGAUUCUGAUUAGAUUGCCUGCUAAAUCGCUGAUGAGGUUCAAGUGCGUUUCAAAGCUCUGGUUUUCUCUUAUCCGUUGUCGAUAUUUUAGCAAUCGUUAUCUUACGGUGGCUUCCCCACCGCGAGCACCUCGUCUAUACAUGAGUUUGGUGGACCACAUCCAGUGUAAUUCAAUGGAAGUCUGCUAUAACCCUCGCGAGUCUGUAUUGCUAUCAUUAUCAUCAUCGUCUAGUACUGAUGCAAAGUCUUUCCACCAAGAUUUGACAAUGCCAGGGAUGGGAGGACGCAACAUGAUGAUUCUUCGCGGCUUGAUUCUAUACAUUGUUUGCAGAAAGGCGUGUAUCUAUAAUCCCACCACCAGACAAUGUGUAACCUUACCCGCCGUCCAAUCCAACAUUUUUGCUCAAGAAGAUUAUCAUAAGAGUGUCCUCUACUUUUUAGGACACGAUCCUGUUCUUGAUCAAUACAAAGUAGUUUGCACUGUUGCAGUAUCCUCAAAAAGGUUUAAGAGGAUAACCUCAGAGCAUUGGGUCUUCGUACUAGAACCCGGAGGUUCGUGGAAAAGAAUUGAGUUUGAUCUACCUCAUUGUCCUGCACGACUAGGACUGUGCAUCAACGGAGUCAUAUAUUUUUUGGCUUCCGCUUGUAUGUCUAGCGAUAUCCUUGUCAGUUUUGAUGUUAUGUCUGAAGAGUUCAAAUGGAUCCAAGGACCUCCUGUCGCGUCUGCAUUUAAGCCCAUGGGUUUUAUAGAGUAUCUUGGAAAACCAUCUGUUUUUGAUCAUUCCCAUCUUAAACGCAAAGGUUCCGUGGACUUAUGGGUCUUGGAAGAUGCUGGAAAAUGGUCGAAGAAAUCCCUGGUUUUGCAGCCUUGUCAGAUGCAUUUAGUUGAUAAGAAAUUAUCAUUCACGGUUAAAGGUACUACUCAAAACGGCGAGAUUAUCUUGGCACCCGUAUUGUUGCAUUCCCCUUAUUACGUUUUGUAUUAUGAUCCCAAAAAAAAUGAUUUGAGAAAGGUUAGAAUCAGAGGAAUACCGAAACAAUGGUUUGGUAAGCUUGAUGACACCAACUUACUUUUUUAUUUCGAUCUUAUGGAUGAGAGUGAAAGUAUCCUGCACUUGGAAAUUUGAAAUUGCCAUGUCGACAUUUCUUACCUUCAAUACAUUGGGAACUAUUUAUUUUGUAAUUUUGUUUUAUUUAUGUUGAUUGUUUUUUUUUUUUUUUGAUAUUUUGAAUUUUGAACUUACCUUUGUUUUUUAUGGUGACAAAAUUGACUUUGAUCAAAAAUCAUCUUACUAAGAAGAAUAAGAAACAUGGUAGCUAGUAUAUUAUGAUUUAUUGAUUGAUUUCACAGCCCUAAGAUUAAAUGAAAACUAACCUCAACUGUUAGAUUAAAAAGAUGACAUCAGCAGACCCAAAAAAGUGGGUUUGCUGUUUAAUUGAACUACUGAUUUAUUUUUACCUACCUUUGUUUGUUUGAAUUUCAAAUCACAUAACAAGUAUACGAGGUAUGUUAAUCUCAUAUGCAAGAUAGAGUCUCUUGCUAGAGACAUUUAGAUCUAUGAUGGUCUUUCAUUGGCAAAGUUAGCAUCUUUCAGCCAAUUGCUUUUCUAUUGACCAUGUCAUGAUCAUAAUCGGAGCAAGAGUUGCCGGUAUAGAGUUUGUCAGUUACUAUUCCUAUCAUCUUUCUUGUGCAUGUAGAGAUGAUGAAUUUUAAGUAACUAAUCACUAUGAAGGGAGAAAGAGAAGAGAAUGAUCAUAAGCUCUCACAAUCUCCUAAACGUAAGUGCUGCCUUGAAAUAAUAGCCGGUGAUAUCAAUAUUCCUUUCGAUCUGACGGUGGAGAUACUGAAGAAACUCCCGGCCAAGUCUCUUGUGAGAUUCUAAUGCGUCUCCAAGCAAUGGUCAACCAUAAUCGGCUCCCGGAAAACUCCCGGCCAAGUCUUCUUCUCAUCAUCUCACAUUUCUCUCUUCUACAAUAUUUCUCUCUCUAGAUUCUGUUCAGGAACUUGUCUUAAAAACUCUCACUCUCCCCCAAACUUAACAAACAUACAAGCAAAACACCCAAUGGGUCUCACUUCUCUUCAAGUUUGCAUGGAUUCGGAUUGGCUCCAGGUAUUUUCACUUAGACUUCCAUCGUUUGUAUUUGUGUUUCUUUUCCAAAUAUGAACAUAAGACUUCACACAUUGCAAGCAAAAAUUCCUUUGUUAAUUAGUUUUAAAAAGUAAAUGUCAAAUACGAAUGGAAGAUCUGUUUGUGUUUGACACGUACUUAAAAAUUGAAAAUAUUUUCCAUUUUAAAUGUGACUUAUUUUUUGUUUUAAUGAAUUUGUUUUGUCCCAUUUAAGUGCACAAUUUAAAAAACAAAAAUUAGGAUUGAAACAAUUUAGAUCUUAUUAAUUACUCCUCUUGAACCAUCGUUUUUGGCGUGCAUGGUGAUGCAUAUUAUGUACCAUACAACUUCGAUUGUAUAGAUUACAAAGCGUAACCUUACCCGCCAUCAAAUUCAACAUCUUUGUUCAAGGAAAUGAUCAUAGUGUCCUCUACUUCUUGGGACACGAUCCUGUUCUUGAUCAAUACAAAGUAGUUUGUAAUUUUGUGUCAUCAUCUUCACAAGAUUUGGACAUGAUAAACUUGGAGCAUUGGGUCUUCGUACUAGAAGUUGGAGAUUCUUGGAAAAGAAUAGAGUUUGAUCAACCUCAUAUAUCUACAAGACCUGGACUGUGCAUCGGUGGAGUUAUAUAUUAUCUUGCUUUCACUAGUAUGUUUGAGGAUAUCGUUGUCAGCUUUGACGUUAGAUCUGAAGAAUUUAACAUAAUCCAAGCGCCUCUUGUGGUGUCUGCAUAUGUUGGCUCUCUGGGUUUUAUAGAGUAUGGUGGGAAACCAGCUAUUUUUUAUCAUACUAGUCUUAAAGAAAACGGUUUGGUGGACUUAUGGGUCUUGGAAAUGCUGGAAACUGGUCGAGGAAAGCUUUGAGUUUGCAGCCUUCUCAGCUGCUUUAGUUGAUAACGACAUUCUAUUGACGGUAGAAGAUACAACUCAAAACGGCGAGGUUAUCUUGGUACCAAGUGAGUUGUGUUCCCCUUUUACAUUCUCUAUUAUGAUAUACUGAAGAAUGAUUGGAGGAAGGUUGAAAUCAAAGGAAUGCCGGACCAUAAGAAGGUUGGGAUCAAAGGAAUACCGGACUUUGGUUUCAAACUUAUGGAUAACAGUGAAAGCAUCAUCCACUUGGAAACUUGAAUACUAUUACUUGUUUUUUUGUUAUUUCUUUUCUUCUCAUUCCAAGCUAAGAUUAUCAUAUUAUCUUAUUAUUUUUCGCCUUUAAUAAUACAAUGCAACUAUUUUAUUUUGUUAUUUUAAUUUUAGGCAACAAACAAUCGUUUAAUAUGUGUUAUUCAAUUUUAUUUUAAAAUCAUCAAGUAAGAUUGGAUUUAAUCGCAGAGGUUACAUGUUCUGUAUAUCAAAUCAAGAACAAGUUUUAGAACCCUUGUGGAUAUAUAUAAGCUUUUGUUUCAAGUAGAAAUGAAUAUAUAUAUAUAUAUAUAUAUAUAUAUAUAUAUAUUUUUCUGUUUUUUGUUUUUCCUUUAAGCAUUCAUCAAUUGUGUAAAAAAAUCUCUGGAAGUGCUUUUAGUAUGUAAAGAAGUUAUCUACCUAAAGAAGUUUACCCUAUAGCCCAUGUUUCUUUGAUAAACCGGUACUAGAAUAACAUUUUUGAAGAGUCAGUGGCUCAACAUGUCCAUGUUUCUUUAAAUAUCGAUUCUCAAUGCCUUGAAUUCAACAGGUCCUUAAUUAUAAGUAUAUCGUAUGGCCAGGUCGGAGAUUUGACCUCAGGUAAAUGAAAGUAUUGUCUGAGGGUAGGAUUAUACAUUGUGACCAAAUGACGUCUUAUGAUCACCGAACAACAUUGUAAGCCGCAGACUUAUCGAUACUCAACACUUUCGAAAGGGAUUAUUACUUAAGGUGCGAGUUUUUGUUUCUUUGUGUAGGCGAGAAGAAUAAGACAUGGUUGUCACUAAACCAAUGGUGAAGUGGGAACGUUGGAGCCUUGCAGGUUAUUCAAAGAACGAGGCACGAUCUAGUCAAUGAAGACGCAUCACAACCUCACGAGGGGGACUUUGCUAGGAUUGUCUUGAGUAUCUCAACCGUUUACUCGAGAGAGAUAUUGAUAUCGUUGAGAUUUUAAGACUAAAGUUCAGAGCCGACUUGCUCUGAUACCAAUUCAAAUCAAGAUCACAUUAUUUUGACUGCUCUGAUUAAGUUACUGAAUGAUUCAGAAAGUGAUUCAGCAACACGAGAACAAGAGAUUAAAGAAUAACCUUUCUUUAUUGAUUUAGAAACUUCACAAAACUAAAUCUCUCUCUUCUGUCCUCUCUGAGGUCUUAUGGAACAACUCUCCAUAGCCUCUCAUAUAUAGAACUUAUCUACCCUAAGUCUAUAUGAGUCUCAGAUCUGUCUCAACACCUCCACGUGUCUUAACUCUCAUCUUCGGAUGGUGGAGCUCCUCUGGUAGCAGAACUCCCCCCGAGCUGUUCUGAGCUCACCCCGAGCUAUUCGAGCUCCCCUGGGCUAUUCGAGCUCCCCGAGCUACACUAAGCUCUUUGAGCUUUCUCUCAAGCUCUCUCUCUUCUUCUUCACGAGCUCUCCUCUUGAGCUGCCUUCACGAGCUCCCUCUGAGCUGCUCUCACGAGCUCUCCUCUGAGCUACCUCUGAGCUACCCUCUGAGCUACUUCGGCUAUACGAGCUACUCAAGCUCCUUGAGCUCCUCUGAGCUACACGAGCUCCCCGCUUGAGCUGCACGAGCUCCCCUGCUGAGCUGCCUCUCUUGUUCUUCAUAAGGCUCUUAUUUAUACUAGAACCAAGCUUCUUCUUUUCCUAUUGUGAAUAGGAAGACUUACAAAUCUUGUCCAACUUGAUAUUAUUUGUAUUUCCUUUUCUCUUGAUUUCCUUUCUUGGAUUUCCUUUCUUGUAUCUCUUCUAGCAUCUUCUAGAAGGAGAUAACUUGCUCCUCAAGUUAGUUGGAAUUAUCCAACAUUCUCCCCCUUAAUUCCAACUUGAAUUCCGGGAAACUUGAUUCUCGCCAAUGCCUUAGUAAGUGUGUCCGCCUUCUGCUCCACACCUUGAACAUUCUCAACUUCAACCUUUGUUGAGAUACAAUCUCUUGCUCCUCCUUAGCUUUUGAGAUCUUCAAAUUUGACUGCAUCUUAGUAUCCACAAGCAUUCCUUGAGCAUCUCCCUCUUGUUCUGCUCCUUGAAUUACUUCUUGUACUAGUGCUUGUACUACUUCAACGAUUCCUUGAACACAACCUUCUUGUUCUGCUCCUUGAAUCACGUCUUGUACUACUUCAUGUAAUACUUCAUGUACUACUUCAGCGAGAAGUAUUCCUUGAGCACAAACCUCUUGUUCAACUCCUUGAAUAACUUCCUGUAGUACUCUCUGUACUACUUCAACGACUAGUACAGAAUACCCAAAUAUCAUAACCCGACUUGGUUUGAUAUUCUCUAGACCCCGACUUGGUUCUAGCAUCUCUAGAAUCUGACUUGAUUCUAGCAUCAUUAGAACCUGGCUUGGUUCCAAUAUUGACCAACCAUCUACCUUCUUGAGAUGCGGCCUCGUGAUCACACUUCUUGACCAAUCAUCUACCAUCUUGAGAUGCGGCCUCAUGAUCUUCUUAGCUUUUAGUAAGCUUGAAUGACGUUCGGCUUCUCCCCACAUAUCAUUCAGAAUCUUCAUUAGGUGCCUAGAGACUCCUCCUCUAUGCAACCUCAAAUCUUCAUUAGAUGCUUAGAGACUCCUCCUCUAUGCAACAUCCUCUCUUCAUUAAAUGCCUAGAGACUCCUCCUCUAUGCAAUAUCGAUUCUUCAUUAGACGCCUAGAGACUCCUCCUCUAUGCGUAAUCGAUUGAACUCCAUUAGAUGCUUAGAGACUCCUCCUCUAUGCAACAUCGAAUAUUCAUUAGACGCCUAGAGACUCCUCCUCUAUGCGUAAUCGAUUAAACUCCAUUAGAUCCUUAGAGACUCCUCCUCUAUGCAACAUCGAAUAUUCAUUAGACGCCUAGAGACUCCUCCUCUAUGCGUAAUCGAUUGAGCUCCAUAAACUCUCCUCCUUUAUCGGUGCGAAAGGUUUUGAUGGACAAGCCGGCUUGCUUCUCCACACACUCUUCAAACCUUUUGUACCGAUCGAAAACUUCAAUCGAUAUGUCAACAAGGAACCACAUGUUCUUGUUGAUCUUGGCUCGUCUCUCACUUUCAACAUAAGCUUGCUGGAAUAAUCCGGAAAUUGUUUCGGACUUCAGAACAUAGUCUUCAAGGUACUACAGCUGAUUCAAUUGUCGACCUGACCUUCUCAGUUGUGCUAGUCCUUGAACUACUUCACCAACCUCACCCUCGUGGUUGUCUUGAGUGAUAUCCUCCAUGACAUCAUCUGCUUCAUGUCCUUCUCCAGCAUCUUCUUCGCGAAUCAACUCAAAAACUUAUAUGACCUAACUGAGCAUGCCAUGUUCUUGUAGAUUCAUUAGCAAUUCAUUCAGUCAGUCCUUCAGCGAGUCCUUCAACGAGUCCUGCAGCAAGUCCUUCAGCAUGUCCCUCAGGAAGUCCUUCAGCUUGCAGACAUGUUGCCUUGCUUAUCUCCAAACAACUUGAUGCUGACCAGCCUUGUCGCAUCACUUUGGAUAAAUUCUGCUUUUGGUUGUGAUCACCGGUUACUCCUCCUUGAGAUUGCAAGACGGACCUUCCUUGUCCCAUGCCUCUGCCGGAACUGUCACCUCCAAAGCUUCCUCUACCAUAACCACCGUAGUUAUAGCUUCCUUUGUUAUAACGUCUUCUUGUUAUAACCGCCUCUGUUUCCUGCUCGAAACUUCCCGUAGCCUCCAUGCUUAGGGUUUGAGGUCCUUGGUCUUUACUUUGGAUUUCUUACUCAACACGUUCUUCAUACUCCAGUAACCUCCCAACAAUGUCUUCAAACCCCAUCCGCUUUAGGUCAAGAACUUGCUCCAGGGAUGCUACAAUAUGAAUGAUCUUGGUUCGUGGUUGUGGAUUCUCGCUUGCCAUACUUGUUUACGAGUCACGUACCACUGGUCUUGUCUAGAGUCUUCAAACUAAGCUCUAACACACCACAGGUCUUGUCCAGAGUCUUCAAACUAAGUUCUGAACUUGUACAGAGUCUUCAAACUAAGCUCUGCCAUACCAUAGGUCUCGUCUAGAGUCUUCAAACCAGAAGCUCUGAUACCAAAUAAAGUUCAGAGCCGACUUGCUCUGAUACCAAUUCAAAUCAAGAUCACCUUAUCUUGACUGCUCUGAUUAAGUUACUGAAUGAUUCAGAAAGUGAUUCAGCAACACGAGAACAAGAGAUUAAAGAAUAACCUUUCUUUAUUGAUUUAGAAACUUCACAAAACGAAAUCUCUCUCUUCUGUCCUCUCUGAGGUCUUAUGGAACAACUCUCCAUAGCCUCUCAUAUAUAGAACUUAUCUACCCCUAAGCCUAUAUGAGUCUCUUUCUCUAGACUCUCAUGAGAUCUGUCUCAACACCUCCACGUGUCUUAACUCUCAUCUUCGGAUGCUGGAGCUUCUCUGGUAGCAGAACUCCCCCCGAGCUGUUCUGAGCUCACCCUGAGCUAUUCGAGCUCCCCUGGGCUAUUCGAGCUCCCCGAGCUACACUAAGCUCUUUGAGCUACACUAAGCUCUUUGAGCUUUCUCUCAAGCUCUCUCUCUUCUUCUUCACUAGCUCUCCUCUUGAGCUGCCUUCACGAGCUCUCCUCUGAGCUACCUCUGAGCUACCCUCUGAGCUACUUCGGCUAUACGAGCUACUCAAGCUCCUUGAGCUCCUCUGAGCUACACGAGCUCCCCGCUUGAGCUGCACGAGCUCCCCUGCUGAGCUGCCUCUCUUGUUCUUCAUAAAGCUCUUAUUUAUACUAGAACCAAGCUUCUUCUUUGCCUAUUGUGAAUAGGAAGACUUACAAAUCUUGUCCAACUUGACAUUAUUUGUAUUUCCUUUUCUCUUGAUUUCCUUUCUUGGAUUUCCUUUCUUGUAUCUCUUCUAGCAUCUUCUAGAAGAAGAUAACUUGCUCCUCAAGUUAGUUGGAAUUAUCCAACAAAGACCGUGAAGUUUCGGUUGCAUCCAUGUCAUAGAUUUUGGGGGGUCUUGUGCUCUUGAAAAUUCUGAAAAGUCUUGAGCUUCGCACCAGAUCCAAUGGUCCUGAAUCCGUUUUCUAAGAACGGAGAGAAUAUGACAUUGAUCACCGAGACCAGAUUUACAAUUACGAUAGAUCAAAUCAUGAGCUUUAUCUCUCCUUCAAGCAAUUCCAUAACCCCGACAGCAAAAGACGACGGCCAGCAGAAUAAGAAUCGCAGCUUCCAGAUUCAGAGAUCGUUGAUCCUUCUUGCUCUGAAUCAUCAAAAAAUGCUUCAACUUUGAGAAAUAGGAACUUUUGAUACAAACUUGAAAAAUCUUAAAGCUUUUGAAUUAGUUUUGUUUCUUGAGCUCCAAGUACAUAAUUAUAGCUAUGAAUAGAAUAGGGGAAUAAUCACAGAAAUGGAAAAAGGAACCGUUUGAAUUAACCUUUGAAUCCGUUUAGGUAGAAGCUGAAAUGACGAAAUUACCCCUUGAAUCCGUUUGCUUGCGGACAUCGAGAAUGUGUCAUUGUGUUGUAUCGAGUCUUCUUCUUCUUUGCGAGGCCACGACCGACACAUGUAACACGUUUUGUACGUAACCAUUUCAAUUUCUUAAAUGAAUUGUAGGUCAAUAUUUCUCUUAGUUAGAAUCCCAUAUGUGCAUAACUAAAUUAGUCGACAAACAAUGUUAAUGUGAUACAAUGAAUAUGUUAAAUUAGAUUAGUAUAGUUAACUCACCUAAAUCGUGUUUGACUUGCAUCAUUUCAAUCAAUGUCUUUAUAUGAAGUUAUUACUAACAAGUAACAACAUAUCGUCUUCUAAAUAUGAACUCUUAAUUUUCAACAAAUUGAGCUUUUUAUACGUUUUAAAGUCAUAUUAUAAGCAAACAAACAUGUAAACAAUACAAAAUAAUUAUAUUGAUUAAAAACAUAUCGUAAAGAAAUCUGAAAUUAAUCGCACUGUAAUACGUUUUAUGCGUAACCAUUUCAAUUUCUUAAAUAAAUAGUAUGUCAAUAUCUUUAUUAGUUAGAAUCCUAUAUCUAAAUUAGUCGACAAACAAUGUUAAUGUGAUACAUUGAAUAGGUUAAAUUAGAUUAAUUAACUCACCUAAAUCGUUACACUGUUUUGAAUAUUUAGAGCUGUCCAUAACCCCUAUUGAAAUAAUCCCGAUUAAACAAAAACCCUUAAUUCAAAUUAGCUUAGCUAGAGAUAUCCAAAUCUUAGCUAGAAAUAACCUUAAUCAUAAUCAUGCAUGUAUUUAAAGAUCUCUCAUUCAGAAACCCAUAAAUGGAUGAUGAAUCAAUGAAAAUUUGUUAUUGGGCUAUACUUAAUUUCAUGAACGAUGUAGGUCCAAUUAGAUACAUAAUACUAAAUGAAUGAUCUAUAAUUAUUAUUGUCCACCGAAAUUGUGAAACUUUUAAAUUUAUCAGCUAAAGUUUCCUUGAAAUAAAAGAAAAUAAAUUAUUUACAACUUUAUUUAAGAUCAACAUUUUCUACGUUUAAAAAAAAAAAAAAAGUAUAAGUGUUUGUUGUUUCUAGAAUUUUAGCAAAUCCUACAAUCGAUGAUGAUUAUUAAUGUUUUAGGGAAGUUAUUAUUACUAGGCCCAAAAAAUGUAUGGCCCAAGCGGGUUAGGCCCACAUUUUUGUAUAAAUAUAUAAUAAGAUUUUCCGCUUUCUCAACGCAUUUUACGGAUUUUGAAAAUUCAUUUCAUUUCAGAAAAAGAUUUUCGAAAAUGAAGAUGAGUAAGAUGCUCUGCUUGCGAAGGCGAUUUUCGAGAAGAGCAAGAGCUGGUAAAUUUUUCGACAUCUUCCUUCUUCAGAUGACCUAAAACUUGUUUCCGAGCAAGGAUUUUGUAGCGAUUUCGUGUUUAGAAGGAGGAUUUUGCUUUUGUUUUGUUGCUAAAAGUGUUCGUCGGAAGUGUUUUGAGUUUGGUAAAUCUGGAUCUGGUAACGAUGAACUAUUUGAUACUUGAACGAAACUCGAUUUCUGAAAUCAUAGACGACGAGAUUUUGAACCUAUCGAACACACUCAUUGAUGUUGUAUUCCGAUUUUGGUAUGGAUUCGUUGCUUAUUUUCUCUGCGUUGAUCUUAGGUGCGUGAUAGGAUUUUGAUUUCAGCUGUUUAUUCUCUCCGAUUUUCGCUAGAUCUGGUGAAUUUCUGAUUGGGCACUGUUGUACGAUGCUUGUUAGCUAGGUUCAGAUUCAUCGUUGCUUAUUUAUCUGCAUGAUUAGUUCUCUAUGUGUUUUUAGGUUUUGAUUCUCUCCGAUUUAGAUCUCUAUGUUAGGUUUAUGUGCUCUCUGAUUCAGGAUCUCGAUGUUUGAUUUUGCAAUUUGGUUUGUUGCUAAAUGUGUUCAUGGUUUGCGUUUAAUUUUGCUGUUUGUUUUGUUGCUAAUUGUGUUCCUGACAUGAGGCUUUCUUUUUACUAUUCUUGAAUUUUGUAGCUCCUCUCGUUGUCCCUGUGAAUGCCAAUCCUGUCCUUGUUGCUGUUGCUCAAGAGCAAGUUGCUCUCCCAGGUAUAACUCUCUUUCUUCCUUAGCUGCGUGAUAGGAUUUUGAUUUCAAGUGUUUAUGCUCUCUAAUCCUGAUCGUUGCUUAUUUAUCUGCGUGAUUGGUUCUCUAUGUGUUUUUAGGUUUUGAUUCUCUCCCAUUUAGAUCUCUAUGUUAGGUUUAUGUGCUCUCUGAUUCAGGAUCUCGAUGUUUGAUUUUGCAAUUUGUUUUGUUGCUAAAUGUGUUCAUGGUUUGCGUUUGAUUUUGCUGUUUGUUUUGUUGCUACAUGUGUUCCUGACAUGAGGCUGUAUUUUUACUAUUCUUGAAUUUUGUAGCUCCCCUUGUCGUCCCUGUGCAUGCCAAUCCUGUCCUUGUUGCUGUUGCUCAAGAGCAAGCUGCUCUCCCAGGUAUAACUCUCUUUCUUCCUUAGCUGCGUGAUAGGAUUUUGAUUUCAGGUGUUUAUGCUCUCUAAUCCUGAUCGUUGCUUAUUUAUCUGCGUGAUUGGUUCUCUCUGUGCUUUUAGGUUGUGAUUUUCUCCCAUUUAGAUCUCUAUGUUAGGUUUAUGUGCUCUCUGAUUCAGGAUCUCGAUGUUUGAUUUUGCAAUUUGUUUUGUUGCUAAAUGUGUUCAUGGUUUGUGUUUGAUUUUGCUGUUUGUUUCGUUGCUAAAUGUGCUCCUGAGGCUGUCUUUGUACUAUUCUUGAAUUUUGUAGCUCCUCUCGUCGUCCCUGUGCAUGCCAAUCCUGACCUUGUUGCUGUUGCUCAAGAGCAAGCUGCUCUCCAAGGUAUAACUCUCUUUCUUCCUUAAGUGCGUGAUAGGAUUUUGAUUUCAGGGGUUUAUUCUCUCAGAUUUUCGAUAGUUCUGGUAAAUUAUGAUUAGCACGGUUGUACGAUGCUUGUUAGCUAGGUUCAGAUUCAUCGUUGCUUAUUUAUCUGCAUGAUUAGUUCUCUAUGUGUUUUUAGGUUUUGAUUCUCUCCGAUUUAGAUCUCUAUGUUAGGUUUAUGUGCUCUCUGAUUCAGGAUCUCGAUGUUUGAAUUAAUUCUCUCUGAUCUUUAGGUAUUGAACUCUGUGUUUAGGAGAUUUUAUUUUAUAUCAUGUAUAUGUCUGUAGCUCUUGUGCGUCCUGACGUGAGGCUAUCUUUCAACUAUUCUUGAAUUUUGUAGCUCCUCUUGUCCCUGUUCAUGUUGCUCCAGAAGAAGCUGCUCUCCCAGGUAAACAACUCUUUCUUCUUUAGAUCUGAGUUGGUUAUUAUGAGGUUUUAAACUCUUUCUUUAGGUUCUGAAAUUUUACAAUUUGAAAUAGCAAAUCAAAAUAGUAUGAAAACAUUCUUACUUUAUUUCUCAGAUUUACCUCCGUCGUUUGAUAUGGUGGAUUCUGAUUAUUUCCUGUAUCUUUUUUUUUGUUUGUUGUGACAGGUCUGACUGUCAACAGAAACCAUCUGAUCAGAGAUCUCCCACGCCCUGUUCAACGUCCUCCUGUUGUGCAAGUGUCUCAGCCUCAACUUAGCCGGUCUGCAAGGAAAAAGCUCAAUAGAGGUCCUGGGACCAUGAGCCUCACUGCAGCACAGAAGAGGAUGUUUGGUCAUAGGAAGGGUAAGAAGAAGCACCGUCGUCGAAAGUAUGGUCAUAGCUAUUAAGCUCCCAGCCAGCAAAACAGGGAUGCAUCUUGCAGUGAGCUCAACAAGGAUUUCUAAACUCUCAUUAUAUCCUGUGAUUGAGCGAUACACUGGUUUUGGUUUGUGAUUUCGGAUUUACCAUGUGCACCUUUUGCAAAACAUGGAUUUAGAUUGCAGUGAGCUCAACAAGGAUUUCUAAACUCUCAUUAAAUCCUGUGAUUGAGCGAUACACUGGUUUUGGUUUGUGAUUUCAGAUUUACCAUGUGCACCUUCUGCAAAACAGGAAUAUACUUGGUGUCUGUUUUGGAUUUAAGUAAUAUCUGCUUCUCUCUUAAAUAUCUUGGUCUAUUGCAGGCAAAUAUCACUUCCAAAAUAUGUUGUCAAAUAAUCAGAUAUUUAGUCAUUGUAACCAAGCGAACACUGUUCACUGAUUCCUCUCUGAAAUUCUUCUUGUUCUUACAUUUGCUCAUCCGAUGACCUCCUGAUGCUUGAUAAGACGAAUAUAUCUUGUUGCAAAACCUGCAUUGAUGCUCAACGUUCUUCUUAUCAGAUUCAGUGAUCAUCUCAGUAUCUGAAUCAGAACACUCCAUAGCUCCUACUCCAAGCUCAGUUCUGUAAUACCCAGUUUUCCAAGUCACCAGCUUUUCGCAGUUUCCGCUGUUCCAAUUCAAUCUUUGUUCCCAAGAAACUCGCUGGUUCUUUCCAUGUCCCUUCCAUCAGUUUUUGCUCAUUACUCAAAGAACCAAAUUCACCUCCAUUUCGCAGCUUCUGCUGAUCCAAAACACACUUGUAUCCCAAGAAACUUGCUGGACCUUUGAAUGUAACAGGAGUAGUAAUCUCUUCUUUUAGCAUUCUUUGCUCAUUACUCAAAAACCCAGAUUCAAAUUCACCAGCUUUUCUUCGUUUCUGCUGAUCCAAUCUGUUAUCAUCUCUCAAGAAGCUAGCUGGUUCUUUCGAUGUUCCAUAACUACUAAACCUUUCUUCCAUAAAUCUUUGCUCAUCACUGAAAACCCCAUAUUCAAAUUCACCACCUUUUCGCGGUUUCUUGUUACGCAAACAACCCAAAUCAUAGCUACUUUUAGGUGUUUCAUGAAUCAUGAGUAACAUGUACUGCCUCAGCAAGAAGUUUCAGUCCGUCUACAAACUUGGGAGUACUCUCAGACAAUAGAAUCAAACAAUCCGCCACUUCUAAUUCUUCAUCAUUCGCAUCAAAAACAGAACGCGGUUCAAGAAAUGUACUAUACGAACAAGAAAAUGAAGUCUUCUUAUACCUAACAAGUCUCGAUCUUUUCUUCUUCCUCACAAAACUGAAGAUACGACACAGAGUCAUCAUGGAUUCUUCAUAAACCUUCUGGUUCGUCGAUAAAUGCAUCGUCGCUCGAUGAUUUGAAAAACAUUUCUCGUACCGAAACCCUUUUCCACAUUCUUCGCAUCGAAACAAAAUCUUCUUCAUUAGUUCCGGAGAUUCCAGGGUUUUCUUCUUCGGGUUUUCCCUUAUACCGUAGUAACAAGUAAAAUCUCGCUGUUGGUUUGUUGCGUGACUGAGUAAUCUUCAGAUUUCGCAGAGCUCCAUAGAUGGGUUUAUGUAGAAGAUCUUGGUGUUCUUCUUCCAUUUAGGCGCGAAAUACACGGGGUUUGUUGAUAAAGAAGAAGUCAAUGAAGACGAGGUAGAUGAUGUAGAGGUAGAUAAUAAAGCAACAAACCCAAGCCGGACUCAUUAUCAAAGAAACUCUCAGAUGAGUUGAAGAAAUAAGGAGGAUUAUGCUCUGUUUCUCGUCACUUUCCUGAGAAAUACUGAGAGAGAAAGUGUCGAAGAAACAGAGAAGCUUGAGACUAUCGAAUCAAACGAAAGAAUACAAACAUUUUGAGUUUCUGUGACUUUUCGGGAGAACAAGUGAGCGAGAGGAAUGGAGGAAACAGAGAGAAGCGGAGAAGAUAUAAGCACUGAGCGAAGUAACGUCGUGAAAGGGGCAUUAUAGUAAAUCGUCAAGAACAGAGGAGCGAAACUUUAUUUUUCGACUACAAGGUUCCCACGUGGCACAUCAUGACCGUGGAGGCGUCGACUAAAUUGGAAAAAUAAUUUAACAGAAUCUUUUACUCAUAUUAGAAACUGAAGUAGAAAUCCAGCUAGGGAAAGCUUUUAUAUUAUGAAAAUAAUACUCGAAAAGCUUUACAAUAUUUGAUAACCCAAGGUACAUAAUUACCAACAAAAACCAAACCUAAAAUCUCUGUUGGAAUUCAUAAAACCAAGAAAAAAAAGCGACAAUUAUUGAUCAAAACAUAGUUAAAGAUAUAUGGAAAAACUCAUGAGAAUUAGGAAAAAAUGGAGAAAAAAGCUAAGGAAGAGGUUUGGUUGUUGUUGAGGCAAGAGCAGGCAUGUCCUUGAGCCACUGGUCCAAUGGCUUACCAAUGGAGUAAACAAUAAACCCAAUCUGCCUGAGUUUAUCAGCGUCGACCACGUUUCUACCGUCAAAAACAAAAGCCGGUUUCUGCAUAUUCUCAAAGAUCCGUUGGAAAUCGAGUUUCUUGAACUCAUCCCACUCGGUUAAAAUGCAGAUACCUGGGCGCCCAUGCUAAUUGAAAAAGUGGAGUCAUAUAUAUACACUUUAGAUCAAGAUAUCAGAAACCCUUAAAUGAAAUCUGUGAUAACAAAGCACUAUCAAAUGAAAAAUAGUAUUAAGGUACGAAAGAAAGGAAUGAAAUUAUGUAGAUAACAACAGCGUGGCAUCUUGUGAGUAUGUGCAAGUCAAACACACAUAACAGGAAGAUGAUGGAUGAUAUAUUUGUAAAAGUGGAUGUUGUUCAUAGUAAAGCAAAGAAAAUAACCGCGGAUGGAAAAGUCACAAACCAGCUCCAUCAGGGUAAAUAGACUGGCUUUUACAUAUGUAGGUAAAAAUUUUUUUAUGGUAUUUGCCUUAAAAGAAUCAUUUAGAUCAGCUUGUUUCAUUACAUUAAGUUCACAAGUUAGUAUUCAUUCUUUAACAAAUUUUGAAGCAAUCCGCUAAUGGCCCGGGGUACGUAUUAUCAGCCUAUCAUCAUCUCUUGCUUCAUCAUAAAAGAGUUUGAGAGCACAAAUUAAGGCCCAAUUAUUGGUAGCCCAAAGAGUUUACUACUUUUCCUUAGACUAGAGCAAAGACAAACGACGUCGUUUGGGUGUAAGAAGAAAAUUGCCAAAGAUUUUGAAAACCUAGAAUCGUGAGCUCAGCCUGCUCGUCUUCUUCCUCUGUUUUUGUCUCUCUUACUCAGAUCUCAAAAAGAGCUUCUUUAUUUUUUUUUUCCUUCCUUUCCUUAGAAAAAAGAGUAAAUUUUUAUCAAAAUUUCCAGCUCUGAUAUAAAAGUUUGUGAAAUUAGUAGCUAUUGUUAUGUCUCUAGCUCUGAUUUCAUCUUUUCAAUGGAAGAAAAAGUCGUCAAAGGCAAUGAGAAGAAGACGAGGGGACGAUUGGUUCGCAUCGGAGAUUCCUUUGGAUCUCCAGAUCGAGAUUCUGAUUAGAUUGCCUGCUAAAUCGCUGAUGAGGUUCAAGUGCGUUUCAAAGCUCUGGUUUUCUCUUAUCCGUUCUCGAUGUUUUAGCAACUGUUAUCUUAAGGUCGCAUCCCCACCGCGACCACCUCGUCUCUACAUGAGUUUGGUGGACCACAUCCAGUGUAAUUCAAUGGAAGUCUGCUAUAACCCUCGCGAGUCUGUAUUGCUAUCAUUAUCAUCAUCGUCUAGUACUAAUGCUAAGUCUUUCCACCAAGAUUUGGCAAUGCCAGGGAUGGGAGGACGCAACAUGAUGAUUCUUCGCGGCUUGAUUCUCUACAUUGUUUGCAGAAAGGCGUGUAUCUAUAAUCCCACCACCAGACAAUGUGUAACCUUACCCGCCGUCCAAUCCAACAUUUUUGCUCAAGAAGAUUAUCAUAAGAGUGUCCUCUACUUUUNNNNNNNNNNNNNNNNNNNNNNNNNNNNNNNNNNNNNNNNNNNNNNNNNNNNNNNNNNNNNNNNNNNNNNNNNNNNNNNNNNNNNNNNNNNNNNNNNNNNNNNNNNNNNNNNNNNNNNNNNNNNNNNNNNNNNNNNNNNNNNNNNNNNNNNNNNNNNNNNNNNNNNNNNNNNNNNNNNNNNNNNNNNNNNNNNNNNNNNNNNNNNNNNNNNNNNNNNNNNNNNNNNNNNNNNNNNNNNNNNNNNNNNNNNNNNNNNNNNNNNNNNNNNNNNNNNNNNNNNNNNNNNNNNNNGCUUCCCCACCGCGAGCACCUCGUCUAUACAUGAGUUUGGUGGACCACAUCCAGUGUAAUUCAAUGGAAGUCUGCUAUAACCCUUGCGAGUCUGUAUUGCUAUCAUUAUCAUCAUCGUCUAGUACUGAUGCAAAGUCUUUCCACCAAGAUUUGACAAUGCCAGGGAUGGGAGGACACAACAUGAUGAUUCUUCGCGGCUUGAUUCUAUACAUUGUUUGCAGAAAGGCGUGUAUCUAUAAUCCCACCACCAGACAAUGCGUAACCUUACCCGCCGUCAAAUCCAACAUUUUUGCUCAAGAAGACUAUCGUAAGAGUGUCCUCUACUUUUUAGGACACGAUCCUGUUCUUGAUCAAUACAAAGUAGUUUGCACUGUUGCAGUAUCCUCAAAAAGGUUUAAGAGGAUAACCUCAGAGCAUUGGGUCUUCGUCCUAGAACCCGGAGGUUCGUGGAAAAGAAUUGAGUUUGAUCUACCUCAUUGUCCUGCACGACUAGGACUGUGCAUCAACGGAGUCAUAUAUUUUUUGGCUUCCGCUUGUAUGUCUAGCGAUAUCCUUGUCAGUUUUGAUGUUAUGUCUGAAGAGUUCAAAUGGAUCCAAGGACCUCCUGUCGCGUCUGCAUUUAAGCCCAUGGGUUUUAUAGAGUAUCUUGGAAAACCAUCUGUUUUUGAUCAUUCCCAUCUUAAACGCAAAGGUUCCGUGGACUUAUGGGUCUUGGAAGAUGCUGGAAAAUGGUCGAAGAAAUCCCUGGUUUUGCAGCCUUGUCAGAUGCAUUUAGUUGAUAAGAAAUUAUCAUUCACGGUUAAAGGUACUACUCAAAACGGCGAGAUUAUCUUGGCACCCGUAUUGUUGCAUUCCCCUUAUUACGUUUUGUAUUAUGAUCCCAAAAAGAAUGAUUUGAGAAAGGUUAGAAUCAGAGGAAUACCGAAACAAUGGUUUGGUAAGCUUGAUGACACCAACUUACUUUUUUAUUUCGAUCUUAUGGAUGAGAGUGAAAGUAUCCUGCACUUGGAAAUUUGAAAUUGCCAUGUCGACAUUUCUUACCUUCAAUACAUUGGGAACUAUUUAUUUUGUAAUUUUGUUUUAUUUAUGUUGAUUGUUUUUUUUUUUUUUUGAUAUUUUGAAUUUUGAACUUACCUUUGUUUUUUAUGGUGACAAAAUUGACUUUGAUCAAAAAUCAUCUUACUAAGAAGAAUAAGAAACAUGGUAGCUAGUAUAUUAUGAUUUAUUGAUUGAUUUUAUUAUAAAUAAAUUUAAAUUUUUGCAUAAGUUAAAAAUGAAAAAAAACUUUACUUAAUGUGAAACAUAAGGAUUAUGAGUUUCCCAUUAUGUUUAACUAGGAAGCGGACACGUGCGUUACCGCACGGGAAAGCGAAAACUUGAAAUAGUUAAAAUUGCUAAAUCGUUUAGAGUGGAAACUUGCUUAUUCUAAAACCACAUAAGUCUGGGUUUGCGGAGUUUUAGGGGAAAAUUAUUGGCAAAGUUAGCAUCUUUCAGCCAAUUGCUUUUCUAUUGACCAUGUCAUGAUCAUAAUCGGAGCAAGAGUUGCCGGUAUAGAGUUUUCAACAUAAAUUCCUUUAUAUUUGACUUGUUGGUGCUUUCAAUCUUUCUAUUCUANNNNNNNNNNNNNNNNNNNNNNNNNNNNNNNNNNNNNNNNNNNNNNNNNNNNNNNNNNNNNNNNNNNNNNNNNNNNNNNNNNNNNNNNNNNNNNNNNNNNNNNNNNNNNNNNNNNNNNNNNNNNNNNNNNNNNNNNNNNNNNNNNNNNNNNNNNNNNNNNNNNNNNNNNNNNNNNNNNNNNNNNNNNNNNNNNNNNNNNNNNNNNNNNNNNNNNNNNNNNNNNNNNNNNNNNNNNNNNNNNNNNNNNNNNNNNNNNNNNNNNNNNNNNNNNNNNNNNNNNNNNNNNNNNNNNNNNNNNNNNNNNNNNNNNNNNNNNNNNNNNNNNNNNNNNNNNNNNNNNNNNNNNNNNNNNNNNNNNNNNNNNNNNNNNNNNNNNNNNNNNNNNNNNNNNNNNNNNNNNNNNNNNNNNNNNNNNNNNNNNNNNNNNNNNNNNNNNNNNNNNNNNNNNNNNNNNNNNNNNNNNNNNNNNNNNNNNNNNNNNNNNNNNNNNNNNNNNNNNNNNNNNNNNNNNNNNNNNNNNNNNNNNNNNNNNNNNNNNNNNNNNNNNNNNNNNNNNNNNNNNNNNNNNNNNNNNNNNNNNNNNNNNNNNNNNNNNNNNNNNNNNNNNNNNNNNNNNNNNNNNNNNNNNNNNNNNNNNNNNNNNNNNNNNNNNNNNNNNNNNNNNNNNNNNNNNNNNNNNNNNNNNNNNNNNNNNNNNNNNNNNNNNNNNNNNNNNNNNNNNNNNNNNNNNNNNNNNNNNNNNNNNNNNNNNNNNNNNNNNNNNNNNNNNNNNNNNNNNNNNNNUUUUCAAUUCCGUGUGUUUACACAGAUAUAUACAAUCUCAUUAUGUGUUAGUACUUAUAUAUUCGCCUAGUCUGGUGGCGACUGGUAGCUUUUGUCACCCUUGCAGUCCGGGUUCGAAUCCCUCCUUCUCCCACUUUCGCUCUUUUUUUUUUUCCUUUUUUUCUUCCGUCUUCUCUCCUUCUUCUUCCUCUGAACUGUGUAACGCAAAUCUAGGGUUUUUUUUGUACUUUGUGAAUUCCAGAUCAAUGUUUUCUGUAAUUACAUCGUCGUUUCCUUAUCAUCAAUCCUUUGUUAUGUGCCCUAAUUUUGGAGAAAAAAUUUGAAACUUUCAUGUACAAAUGGCCAUUAGAGAAAGCAGAUCGGAGAAAGUUCAGAGGAUAAUCGAGCUAGUCGACGGGAAUCGCGAUGAUGGGUUUAACUGAGAAGAGAUGGCGACGGCGACGGAGCUUUGGGUUAAAUGAGGAGGAAGGAGAAAGAGAGAAAUGGCGGAAGGGAAGGAAAAAAAAAUCAGUGGUUUGUAAUGGGGAGGAUUCGAAACCGAGUUCUAUGGAUGACAAAACACACCUCUUACCACUAGACUAGGAUAAUAUAUUAAUAAUUGUAAUACAUAGACAUCUAUAUAUUUAUAAACACGGGGGUUGAAAAAUUUAACACCGGUUAUUGAUUCCGUAACGGCCAUUAACGGACGUUAAAUCACGGUUUUGAAUCCACCAACAAGUCAAAUAUAAGGAAUUUUUAGACUAAAUUUUAUUAAUUGAGGUAUUUUUAUUCCAAUCUAAAACAAUUGGGUAUUAAACGUCCAAAUAAAAAUUACUUUGGGUUUUUUGGGGAAUUUUCCCGGAGUUUUAGUGAGAGAAAUUAUGAAACCACAUAAACUAUUAGACUGGUACACAACCAUUUUGAAAAGAGAUAUUUUCACAUAAAUUCACAUGUUGAAAUAAACGAUUAAAAACAUGCAAUAAUUCUCUGAGAAAUGGAGGAAGUUUAUCAUUGAAUAAUAAUUAGAAUGAGAUCAUAUUGGUUAUCGCAAAGGUUAGAUGAAGAAUGUCGAAGAUAUCAUCGACACUUAUUACUAUACGCCAUACUCUACCCAAGUUUCAACUAAUGAUAUACUUUGUUCCUCUCAUCGUCUAUUUAUUCUGCAAAAACUCAAACCUAGAAAUUUAACACCAUGUGAACAACGAUUGUAUCGCUAAGAAAAUGAGACCAAAACAUUAGGACUAACCAAGGUAAGAUUGAUCGAAGCAUGGGCGGGAGUGGAGAAUAGACGGUUGGUGGCUCAGUGGAAGCCUAAUUGAUUGUGCCAGUAGAUAGAUUGUUAGUGAAAAAGUACAGACUACCGCAUUGCGGGAAAAGGACUUGAGGGUUCUCCAAAUAAAAAUGUUUCAUGGUUUUUGUUUGGAAGAGAUUAGAAGAGACCAAAUUAAUUAGAAAAAAUGAUUUAGAAAUUAUCUAUGAAAAAAUUCAGAAGAAGUUACAAAUGCAAUUUUUUUUCACGGUUUUAUAAGAUGUAAUGAUGCUGAAGAAGCAUAACUAAAGGGUGGUGAGAAGAGGGAGAAGCGAUGCUUCACAAAAAAGACAAACAAAAUGUUGCAACUGAAAAAGCCACAACCACAGGAUUAAGAAGAAAACUAACCUCAACCGUUGGAUUAAAAAGAUUACAUAGAUUACAUCGAAGACGUGUCAUUUGAUUUUGUCUUCACUUUCUCGAAGUUGAUUUUGCAUUGUCAUGUAUAAGGGAUAGCAGUCCCCCUACACCCAGUGCCGGCCCGGAGAAAAAGGAGGUCCAAUACAAAAAAAAUUUUUUUGAGAGGUUUUAUAUAUAAAAUUUUAAAAUUGAAAUAAAAUUUAAAAUUUUCAAAAAAAUGAGGCCUCUUUUUAUAAUAAACAAUAAAAAAAAUUAAAAUUUGAGAUUAAAUCUGGAAAGUUUAGAAAAAUGAGGCCUAUUUUUGCAAUUACAAAUUAUUUUGGGGCCUAAAUUUGUUACUAAAAAUUUUAAAAAAUUUGGUGGCCCAAUAGCCAUGUGUCUUGGGUAUGUGUGGCGGGCCGGGCCUGCCUACACCUUCCUUGGGUGCACACGCACAUUAAAACCACAUACUCCACGUAUCAACAACUAUGUAUCUAUUUCAUUCACAUGAAUUAGGAUUACAUAAUAUUUGGUGCCUGCAUCAAACUUUUUGUCAAGUCCUAUAAAAAAUCAUUCUGAUUUAUUAGCAUUCUGCAACCAAUACAGUACCAUCCUCCCGUGAGUGUCAUUCUCAAAAGUGAACCUUACUUGUUCUUGCUUUCCAAGUGUGCUCCAGCCUCCAGUGCAGAUUCAAAUACAAACGGUUUACAAUGACAAAGAAUAAUGACGAUUGGAUUUAGAAAAGAUAAGAAUCUUCAUUUUGUUGAUAGAAGCAUCAACUUCUUUCUGGAGUUCAUGUAGCAAAACAUCAACGAAUAUUUAUAUCUAAAUUCAAUUAUUCAGUGAGUCAUAAGUCUAUAAAAUCAACCAAAACAGCAAAUCUCAAAGGUAGAAAAAUUUGAAUACAUGAUGUCACACUACUGUCCACAAAAAUAAAUUGUAAUUACACUGUCGCUUUAAAAAUCUAUUCAAUGACAUCUAAAAAGAACAAUUUUAACAAGAGAGAUAUAUGAAGACAUGAAUCUAAGUUUACCGAGUUUGAGUGACACAAAAACGAUGAGAAAGGUGGACAACCAUUUUGGACGGAGAUAUAUAAUUGAUUCAAGCAGAUUUACGUACAAGUCCAAUUAAACAAUCAAAAUUCAGAUACGAACUAAUCAAAGGGUUUAAAACUGAGUAACCAUAAUUAAUCCUCUUUAAUAAAUCAUUUCGGCAAUUAGAUUAAACAACGUCAUUUUAACGUUUCUAAAUCGUUGGAUCAAAUUCUGUAUCAACCCCCAAAACAAUGAAGAAGACUACGAGACAAAACGAAUCAACCGAUGCUUGAGUAACUCUAUGGCAAUUUUUAGUUUUUGAUAGUUUUUAUUCGUCUCAUCAUCAGAAUAUACUGAAGAAACCUAAACCCAAAAAAAUCAAUACGUACUAUGUGACCUGCAAUUGUAUAUUUAUAAAAAGAGGCAAAGACACUAAAACUUACCAAAGUGAGAUCGAUUGAAAUGUGGACGGGAGUGUACAUUACAGCAGAGGAUCACUGCCUCAGUUUGCGCAAAAUCGACUGCGUAGAAAAUCGGUUUGGAGAAACUACGGCGCCGUCGUGGGAAAAUGAUUCAGAAGAUGGUACGAAAUUGACUAUUGUUUUACGGUUUCAAUAUGUAUAAAUGACGAUGAAGAAGCACAGCGGAAAGUGGUGAGAACUGAGAACAGGGAGAUGCGAUGCUUCACAAAGGAACAUGAACAGAAGGAUGCAAUUGAAAAGACACGUCCUUUGCUAUAGUUAAUUUACGAGAAAAAACCACAGCCCUAAGAUUAAAUGAAAACUAACCUCAACUGUUAGAUUAAAAAGAUGACAUCAGCAGACCCAAAAAAGUGGGUUUGCUAUUAUAUAUAGAUUGAACUACUGAUUUAUUUUUACCUACCUUUGUUUGUUUGAAUUUCAAAUCACAUAACAAGUAUACGAGGUAUGUUAAUCUCAUAUGCAAGAUAGAGUCUCUUGCUAGAGACAUUUAGAUCUAUGAUGGUCUUUCAUUGGCAAAGUUAGCAUCUUUCAGCCAAUUGCUUUUCUAUUGACCAUGUCAUGAUCAUAAUCGGAGCAAGAGUUGCCGGUAUAGAGUUUGUCAGUUACUAUUCCUAUCAUCUUUCUUGUGCAUGUAGAGAUGAUGAAUUUUAAGUAACUAAUCACUAUGAAGGGAGAAAGAGAAGAGAAUGAUCAUAAGCUCUCACAAUCUCCUAAACGUAAGUGCUGCCUUGAAAUAAUAGCCGGUGAUAUCAAUAUUCCUUUCGAUCUGACGGUGGAGAUACUGAAGAAACUCCCGGCCAAGUCUCUUGUGAGAUUCUAAUGCGUCUCCAAGCAAUGGUCAACCAUAAUCGGCUCCCGGAAAACUCCCGGCCAAGUCUUCUUCUCAUCAUCUCACAUUUCUCUCUUCUACAAUAUUUCUCUCUCUAGAUUCUGUUCAGGAACUUGUCUUAAAAACUCUCACUCUCCCCCAAACUUAACAAACAUACAAGCAAAACACCCAAUGGGUCUCACUUCUCUUCAAGUUUGCAUGGAUUCUGAUUGGCUCCAGGUAUUUUCACUUAGACUUCCAUCGUUUGUAUUUGUGUUUCUUUUCCAAAUAAGAACAUAAGACUUCACACAUUGCAAGCAAAAAUUCCUUUGUUAAUUAGUUUUAAAAAGUAAAUGUCAAUNNNNNNNNNNNNNNNNNNNNNNNNNNNNNNNNNNNNNNNNNNNNNNNNNNNNNNNNNNNNNNNNNNNNNNNNNNNNNNNNNNNNNNNNNNNNNNNNNNNNUUGAAAAUAUUUUCCAUUUUAAAUGUGACUUAUUUUUUGUUUUAAUGAAUUUGUUUUGUCCCAUUUAAGUGCACAAUUUAAAAAACAAAAAUUAGGAUUGAAACAAUUUAGAUCUUAUUAAUUACUCCUCUUGAACCAUCGUUUUUGGCGUGCAUGGUGAUGCAUAUUAUGUACCAUACAACUUCGAUUGUAUAGAUUACAAAGCGUAACCUUACCCGCCAUCAAAUUCAACAUCUUUGUUCAAGGAAAUGAUCAUAGUGUCCUCUACUUCUUGGGACACGAUCCUGUUCUUGAUCAAUACAAAGUAGUUUGUAAUUUUGUGUCAUCAUCUUCACAAGAUUUGGACAUGAUAAACUUGGAGCAUUGGGUCUUUGUACUAGAAGUUGGAGAUUCUUGGAAAAGAAUAGAGUUUGAUCAACCUCAUAUAUCUACAAGACCUGGACUGUGCAUCGGUGGAGUUAUAUAUUAUCUUGCUUUCACUAGUAUGUUUGAGGAUAUCGUUGUCAGCUUUGACGUUAGAUCUGAAGAAUUUAACAUAAUCCAAGCGCCUCUUGUGGUGUCUGCAUAUGUUGGCUCUCUGGGUUUUAUAGAGUAUGGUGGGAAACCAGCUAUUUUUUAUCAUACUAGUCUUAAAGAAAACGGUUUGGUGGACUUAUGGGUCUUGGAAAAUGCUGGAAACUGGUCGAGGAAAGCUUUGAGUUUGCAGCCUUCUCAGCUGCUUUAGUUGAUAACGACAUUCUAUUGACGGUAGAAGAUACAACUCAAAACGGCGAGGUUAUCUUGGUACCAAGUGAGUUGUGUUCCCCUUUUACAUUCUCUAUUAUGAUAUACUGAAGAAUGAUUUGAGGAAGGUUGAAAUCAAAGGAAUGCCGGACCAUAAGAAGGUUGGGAUCAAAGGAAUACCGGACUUUGGUUUCAAACUUAUGGAUAACAGUGAAAGCAUCAUCCACUUGGAAACUUGAAUACCAUUACUUGUUUUUUUGUUAUUUCUUUUCUUCUCAUUCCAAGCUAAGAUUAUCAUAUUAUCUUAUUAUUUUUCGCCUUUAAUAAUACAAUGCAACUAUUUUAUUUUGUUAUUUUAAUUUUAGGCAACAAACAAUCGUUUAAUAUGUGUUCUUCAAUUUUAUUUUAAAAUCAUCAAGUAAGAUUGGAUUUAAUCGCAGAGGUUACAUGUUCUGUAUAUCAAAUCAAGAACAAGUUUUAGAACCCUUGUGGAUAUAUAUAAGCUUUUGUUUCAAGUAGAAAUGAAUAUAUAUAUAUAUAUAUAUAUAUAUAUAUAUAUAUAUAUUUCUGUUUUUUUGUUUUUCCUUUAAGCAUUCAUCAAUUGUGUAAAAAAAUCUCUGGAAGUGCUUUUAGUAUGUAAAGAAGUUAUCUACCUAAAGAAGUUUACCCUAUAGCCCAUGUUUCUUUGAUAAACCGGUACUAGAAUAACAUUUUUGAAGAGUCAGUGGCUCAACAUGUCCAUGUUUCUUUAAAUAUCGAUUCUCAAUGCCUUGAAUUCAACAGGUCCUUAAUUAUAAGUAUAUCUUAUGGCCAGGUCGGAGAUUUGACCUCAGGUAAAUGAAAGUAUUGUCUGAGGGUAGGAUUAUACAUUGUGACCAAAUGACGUCUUAUGAUCACCGAACAGCAUUGUAAGCCGCAGACUUAUCGAUACUCAACACUUUCGAAAGGGAUUAUUACUUAAGGUGCGAGUUUUUGUUUCUUUGUGUAGGCGAGAAGAAUAAGACAUGGUUGUCACUAAACCAAUGGUGAAGUGGGAACGUUGGAGCCUUGCAGGUUAUUCAAAGAACGAGGCACGAUCUAGUCAAUGAUGACGCAUCGCAACCUCACGAGGGGGACUUUGCUAGGAUUGUCUUGAGUAUCUCAACCGUUUACUCGAGAGAGAUAUUGAUAUCGUUGAGAUUUUAAGACCGUGAAGUUUUGGUUGCAUCCAUGUCACAGAUUUUGGGGGGUCUUGUGCUCUUGAAAAAUCUGAAAAGUCAUGAGCUUCGCACCAGAUCCAAUGGUCCUGAAUCCGUUUUCUAAGAACGGAGAGAAUCUGACAUUGAUCACCGAGACCAGAUUUACAAUUACGAUAGAUCAAAUCAUGAGCUUUAUCUCUCCUUCAAGCAAUUCCAUAACCCCGAGUUCGUCAGCAAAAGACGACGGCCAGCAGAAUAAGAAUCGCAGCUUCCAGAUUCAGAGAUCGUUGAUCAUUCUUGCUCUGAAUCAUCAAAAAACGCUUCAACUUUGAAAAAUAGGAACUUUUGAUACAAACUUGAAAAAUCUUAAAGCUUUUGAAUUAGUUUUGUUUCUUGAGCUCCAAGUACAUAUUUAUAGCUACGAAUAGAAUAGGGGAAUAAUCACAGAAAUGGAAAAAGGAACCGUUUGAAUUAACCUUUGAAUCCGUUUAGGUAGAAGCCGAAAUGACGAAAUUACCCUAUGAAUCCGUUUGCUUGCGGACAUCGAGAAUGUGUCAUUGUGUUGUAUCGAGUCUUCUUCUUCUUUGCGAGGCCACGACCGACACAUGUAACACGUUUUAUACGUAACCAUUUCAAUUUCUUAAAUGAAUUGUAGGUCAAUAUUUUUCUUAGUUAGAAUCCCAUAUGUGCAUAGCUAAAUUAGUUGACAAACAAUGUUAAUGUGAUACAAUGAAUUUGUUAAAUUAGAUUAGUAUAGUUAACUCACCUAAAUCGAUCGUGUUUGACUUGAUGCUGUGUUUUCAAUUAUUGAAUUUAGGUAAAGAGUUACUCUACUCUUUGUUUUGCAGGCUCAUCAACACUUGAUGCUGUGUUUUCAACACUUGAUGCUGUGUUUUCAUCACCAGCUCCAUCUUAAGAUUCUAAGAUUCAACACUUGAUGCUGUGUUUUCAAUUAUUGAAUUUAGGUAAAGAGUUACUCUACUCUUUGUUUUGCAGGCUCAUCAACUUGCUGCUAAAUUCACCAUGAAGUGUGAUGAUGACACAUUUGUACAAAUUGAUGCGGUUCUUAGUGAAGCGAAGAGACCACCUGUGGAUAGAAGUCUAUACAUUGGCAAUAUCAAUUAUUAUCACAAACAGCUCCGCCAGGGUUAAUGGGCUGUUACAUAUGAGGUAAAAAGUUACAAUCUUUUGGCUUAAAGAAUCAUUGGUAUCCGCUUUUUGUCGCAUAUGAAUCCAAAAGUUAAUAUUACAUUAUCUGUUCUUCCAGGAAAUGGCCAGUAGAAGACUUAUCAAUGCACUGCACCAACACAAGUUGACUUCAAGAUUGUCAAGUUGAAAUUGGAGAACAAUAGUCAACGAGUGAGUGUAUUGGAAAUGGAAGCUUACUGGGACUGGUCUGAUGGCUGUUUCUACUCGCUUUGAUAUUGCUUUCAUCCCCAAGAGGUUUAUUAUUACUCUUCUUCCUUUAUUUCCCACUCUUCGAAUUUCAAGUUUUAUUCAGUUUCCAUGAGCUUAGCUUGUUUCUUCUUAUACCAUACCAUGGUUCCACUUCCAUGGAUUAUCUUUGGUUUUCUAGGUGUAUGUACUGUUGGUUUCUUAGAUUGUAUCAGAUUUCUAAUCUCAACACUGGUCUAGUUCUGACUUUUUCAACUGUAUAUUUUGGAUUUCUACAAGUGAGGUGUGAUUUAGGCAUAGAUAAAAUGCAUACAUUUUGUGUGAUUUUCUGUGUUUUCUUCAGUUUCAUCCUCAAGUUUGUUUUGACGUGUAUAUACAGGACACCUGGGUGGCUAAAGAAAAUGUUUUCGACUAUUACUUAGAGCGAGAAGAAUGGCCCUGUGGUUUCGUUUUUUCAUGGAUCUUGGCGAUGCAGGUGCUUAGACAGUUCUCUUUGUAAGCUUUUUUUUAGCAUUUCUCAGUAACAUAGUCUAGCUAAUACUUGCUCGCAUGUUCUUUAAGAGCCUUCUGAUCUGGAUAAGGUUGAAAUAAUCUAAAAUGAAUGGCAAUGGAGAUUCUGAACCUCUAGAGCUUACAACUCCAGACCAUGUUGUGUUAGCAAUAUUUUUGGGUUUGGAUCUUUUCCUGACAUGAUGUUUGUUUUCUCAGUUUCAUAUGUUAAAAAACUAAAUAUUCCAAGUGGAGUGGUUGGGGCUUGUCGACUUGAUUUGGCAUAUGAGCAUUUCAAGGUGUGCCUCGACUGGAACUAGUAUGUCGUUAUAUACUACAUUUGAUUUGCACGGGAGACUGAAUUUAAUAUGUUUCAUUUUCCUCAGGAGAAGCCUCACUUAUUUCAGUUUGUUCCAAAUGAGAGACAGGUAAAAUCAUGUCAGUGUGACUUGCAUUUCUUUGCUCCCUUUAUCAACUUACUUCUAACUGAAAUGAUUUCUGGUUCGCAGGUGAAGGCUGCCAACAAACUUCUCAAGUCAAUGCCACAGAAUGGUAAUAAACAAAAGGUGGAGGGCGUCCUGUUUUCAGUUGCAACUGCAGAUGGAAUUAAGUGGUGAGUUUCACUGAUGCAAAACAAUUGUAAUUUGGCAGGAAUUGUAAAUAACAUUGCUAGUCCUACCAUCUUUCUUGUGCCUCUGUGUAGAAAUUCCCCAUGUGGAGAUAACUAUGGUGUCUCAUAACUUUUAGCUGAUAACUAUGGUGUUUCUUGUGGAUGGUGCUGGGUUUUUCAUCCUCUCGUGUUAAUCAAACCGCAGGUUCAAGAAGCCAUUGAUGAGAUUGGCAGUUCUGGAAUUCCUAUGAGCGUUGUGGCAAAGGCUUCAAAGAAGAUUCAGCUCAUAUAUGUCGUUGUCAGAGUACUUCGAGGUGGUAGAUGGUUUCGAAAAGCCACGGCGAUCCAGCCAAAGUUACCUUAUUUGGUCGAUUCUUUUGAAAGAAGUUCACAUCAUCCUCCGGCCUUAAUUCAACGGUUAGGAUUUCAUCUCUCAUCUCCGAUGGGAAACGCGGUGGACCGGCCUUCGUCGGCCAGGUCUUUAGUAUGUGUGACCUUACUGGGACUGGUGGUCUAGGUGCUCCAAACUUGAUCCAUAUGGAAACAGAAAAUCGUCCAUAUCCUGAUGGAGGCCCAAUAAUUUGCAGCCCAAAGGUUUGGCUAUUUUCUCCUAGGUAAGAGCAAAAUGCAAACGACGCCGUUGCUGGAGUAAUAAUAAAGUUAAAGAAGAAAUAUGCCAAGUUUUCAAACCCUAGAAAUAAUAAGUGCGUGACCUCACUCUGCUCGUCUUCCUCUGUUUCUCUUACGCAGAUCUGAAAAAAGGUAAAAAAUUUCAAUGUUUCUUCUAGCUUCUUCUAUGGGAUCCCCUUCUUUUAUAUAGAUUUUUAUAUGUAUAAGUUUGUAGGGGCGCUUGUGAAUUAGUAGCUAUGGUUAUGUCUCUAGCUCUGAUUGCGUCUAUGCAAUGGAAGAAGAGGUCGUCAAAGACGAUAAGAAGAGGAAGAAGAAGAAGACAAAGAGGAGAAUAUUUUUUUGUGGCACCGGAGAUUCCUUUGGAUCUACUGAUCGAGAUUCUGACUAGAUUGCCUGCUAAAUCGCUUUUGAGGUUCAAGUGCAUCUCAAAGCUAUGGUCUUCUCUUAUCUGUUCCCGAUUUUUUAGCAAUCGUUAUCUUACGGUCGCAUCCCCACUGCGACCACCUCGUCUAUACAUGAGUUUGGUGGACCACCUCGUGUGUAAUUCAAUGGAGGUUUGCCACAACCACCCCCGUGAGUCUGUAUUGCUGUCAUCUUCUAGUAGCAGUGCUGAGUCUUUGGAACAAGAUUUGACACUUGCAGGGAUGGGAGGACGCAACAUGGUGGUUCUUCGCGGCUUGAUUCUAUACAAUGUUUGUAGAAAGGCGUGUAUCUAUAAUCCCACCACCACACAAAGUGUAACCUUACCUGCUGUCAAAUCCAACAUCUUUGCUCACGAAUACUACAAUAAGAGUGUCCUCUACUUUUUCGGACACGAUCCUGUUCUUGAUCAAUACAAAGUAGUUUGCACUGUUGCAGUAUCCUCAAAAAAAGUUAAGAGGAUAACCUCAGAGCAUUGGGUCUUCGUACUAGAACCUGGAGGUUCGUGGAAAAGAAUUGAGUUCGAUCAACCUCAUAUCCCUACGAGACUAGGAUUGUGCAUCAAGGGAGUUAUAUAUUAUUUGGCUUCCACUUGUAAGCGUCGCGAUAUCGUUGUCAGUUUUGAUGUUCGGUCUGAAGAGUUCAGUAUGAUCCAAGGGCCUCCUGUGGUGCCUGCGUAUGGUGAGUCUGUGGGAUUUAUAGAGUAUGGUGGAAAACCAGCUGUUGUUGAUCAUACCAUUUUGGAACAAACAGGUUUAGUGGACUUAUGGGUUUUGGAAGAUGCUGGAAAAUGGUCGAGGAAAUCUCUCGUUUUGCAGCCUUGUCAGAUGCACUUAGUAGAUAACAACAUUCCAUUGAUGGUGCAAGGUACAACUCAAAACGGCGAGGUUAUCUUGGUACCCUUAUUGUUGAUAUCCCCUUAUUACAUUCUUUAUUAUGACCUCCAAAAGAAUGAUAUGAAAAAGGUUUGGAUUAGAGGGAUACCGAAACACUGGUUAGUAAGCUUGACACAAACUUAACUUUUUAUUUCACUCUUAUGGAUAAGAGUGAAAGCAUUAUGCACUUGGAAACUUGAAUUCCAUAUUUCUUUUUUUCUUUCAAUCUUUAAGAUUAUCAACAUUUAAUUUUUUUUUUUUUUGUCAACAACAUUUAAUUGUUGUUUACUUCAAUAAUAGUAUAAUAGUACAAUGAAACCAUUUAUUUUAUGGAUGUUUUAAAUAUUUUUUUGUUUUUUUUUUUCCGUCAGAAAUUGCUUAUAUUAACUUUGAAAUGUCAUUACAAAUGUAUGAUUUAAGCCAUUCUGGCUGGAUACAUGAAUCAACGUAAGAAGAAGAUGGGAUACAACCAAAUCGUGCAAGAGCAUGAGCCACCUGAUUACUCUCUCGUCUAACAAAACGAAACUGACGCUUUCAAACUUUGGCCCAAACCCGUAUAUCUAAAAUAAGAUUAGCGAUUGAGGAGUUAUGCGUAGUCCCAUUAAGCAAGUUAAUUAGAAUUUCGCAGUCUCCCUCGAACAUUACGUCAGUGAAACCCCUGAUCCAUACAUGUUGUAGUGCUGUUAGAAGAGCCUUUGUUUCCACCUCUAAUGGUGAACCCGAAAAACCCAAAACCAGUGAUCCCCACACUUUUGGGAAACCCUUGUGAUCGCGAACAAUCCAUCCUCCCGUACCUUGUAGAUACUAGAUUCUGUAGAUUGAGCCCUGCAUCAAAAUUACAUUUGACAUAGUCUCGUUCCGGAGCUUGCCAGUGACCUACGUCAACGUGACGUAAAGGUAACGACCUUGAUCUUCGACUCUGCUUUCUUGUAGCUUCUAGCCACUCUUUUGUUUCAGCCUGCGCUUUUAGAACUAUAGUUGUUGGACUCUCUCUAAAAUUAUUAAAAACCAAGUUGUUUCUAGAUCUCCACACUUUCCAAAGUAGCCAAAAAGGAAGCAACUUCUGAACAUCUGUUAGAGUAUGAGACUGAAGUAGGUUCAAGAUCGUUGUAAAAUUUUCCUCAAUGUCAUCUGAGAACAUUUGAGGCAUUGGUAGAGUAAUAUUUGAUAUACGCCAAAUCAUGGAAGAAACAGAGCAAGUAAACAGAGCAUGGUUGAUCGACUCAUUGCAAGUUCGACAACGAGGACAAAUGGGGUCUAUUCUCAUACCUCUAGUAGUUAGUCUGUCAAGUGACCCACCUUCCUCCUUGGUGGGUCCGCCCCUGAUUGUGUCUGAGAAAUUGAUCACAUUGCUGCGACGUAACAAAACAAAAGAACUCAAACUUAAUGGUUUAUUAUAUAUGAUUUCGUCUAAUAUAAGCAAUCACAAAAUAGUUUUUGAAUAAUAUCCAUAAGACAUGUUACAAAACAGAGUCUGAAACAAUUAUCAUUCUAAUCUAAAACCGUUAAAAACAUAAACAACAACGACACUAACAAAAACAAAGAGAAACAGAGCUUUCUUGCAGAAGAAGGUAAAGGCUGAGGAGGAGCAGCACCAGCAGGGUUCUGUUUUCCGGUAGAAGCGGUAGUGUUUUCUUUGGAGCAAGCUAAGUUACAACGACUAGGACGAACAACUCGAUACACACCAGAGCUCGUGAGCAAAUGUAUGUCCUUGUUAUUGUCUUGUCCAAAAGAGUAGAUGUAACCAAGAGCAGGUCCUGAGCUAGCUCCUCCUGGAGCCGCGGUACACUUAAUCGGCGAAUCCUUACUGCAACUGAACGGUAUUAGAGAGUCUGUGAAGUUUCCACUAUCUUCUGGUGAUUCAAUCGCUGCCCACAUUGCGUUUGCAUAAAGAUCUGCAUACAAGUACCUGAAACAAAAAAACAAAAAGUUUGAGGAUUUAGUGUUUUAAGGUUUGGAAUUAGGGUUUAUGGUUUAGCUUUUUACUUACGUUCCAUAAGAGCAAGGAUCAGUGUUGGAUCGAUAGAAGUAACCUCCAAUAAUGGAAGCAGAUCCUUCAUGUUUGUUCACUUCAGAGUGGUUGUAACCGAGAAUCGGGAAUGUAAGGUUUGAAUCCGCGGAAACAUUUUCUCCAAAAGGCGAUAAUGGGGAGAAAACAUAAGGUCCUUCAUAAGUUCUCCAGCCAUAGUUUCCACCCUUUGUUAUGAUAUCUACUUCUUCAUAUGUAUCCUGUUACGUUUUAAACACAGCAAUCUUUUCAUGAGAAACUCUGCAUCAUCACAGAGUUGGAUGCUUGAACCGUAAGAAAAAAACACAAACCUUUCCAACAUCAGCGCACAAGAAGUAAUCUGGUCUUUCGGAAUCGAAGCUGCAGCGCCAUGGAUUUCUUAGACCUAAAGCCCAAAUCUCAGGCUGCUCAUUUUCAUUGCCUUGGAAAGGAUUGUUCUUUGGGAUAGAGUAGUUUCCCCACAAACCAAGCUUUGAGAUUUCAGAUACGCCUGCAGAGUUUUAUGGAAGAAAAAUAAGAGUUAAAACACUGAAUGCAAACUCCAUAAAUACAGGGUUUUGGUUAUCGAUUUCGUCACUUAACUUGGCAUAACAUCAACAUCAAGCCUCAAGAUUUUUCCAAGUAACGACUUCUUGUUCUGUGCAAAGUUGUGAGUAUCUGAAACUCCUCCUCCGUCACCAGUCAUGAGAUACAAAUACCCGUCAGGUCCAAAGAGAAUCUGACCACCGUGAGAUGACGAAUACGGAAGUCCCAAAGUGAAAAUCCUCCUCACUUCAGAGGCUUUACCAAUCUUUGCCUACACAAUAAAAGCAACAAUCUCUGUUAGAAUCUUGAUCUCCAAGAAACUCAUGUUUUGGGUUUUAUCAAAUCUUGAAUCUUUUGGUUUUGAACUUACCGUUGAAGGGCUCGAGGAAGUACCAUUUGCAGUAUACUCAGCCACGACGGUCUGAUAACGACAAGGAUGCGCGCCAUCGUCUUUAGGAAGCUUAGAAGGAUCACAAUUUACAUCAGAAUUGCAAGCACAACGACCAGAACAUCCAGGAGAUUUGACUUUAUCGCAGUUAAAAGACGCGAAAAACCGCCCGUUCUCUGCGAAUUUAGGAUGAAACGCCAUUCCCAUCAUACCAAACUGCGUAUCGAAACUGACUUGAUCGGUAAUAUCAACAAAAGGAGUCGAUUCAUCGAUUUCCAUCGGUUCACCUGAGUCUUGAUCCGGUAUUGUUCCUAACCAAAUCUUACCAGGUUGGUUAGAGAAAAAGGCCCGGUUAGAACCAUCAGGAUGAGCCACCAUGUUUAAGUAAGAUCCGGUUCCUAUCUUCUCAAGACAUACUCCUUUUGGUGGCUUAACAUCGGUGUCUUUGUUAACCGGUUCACCAUUAAAGCAUUUGGUUUUGUUGUUGUUGGUUUGAGAUGGUCCACCAAAGGCGGUACAGAAUUCGGUUUGGGAUUUCCAAAGAUCGGUUAAUGUUGAUGAAUUUGAGGAAGUUGAAGGUGAAGUAGCACCACCUAGUAGAGUGGGACUAAAAGGAGAAGAAACAAUGGAAAUGUUCUGACAUGAAUCCCAAAGCUUUGAGCAUAAGUCUUGUGAAGUUGAGUUGCAAAGAAUUGGAACUAGAGAACUAUCAUCAUCAAACAAUUGUCCUGAGGAUUGAUCACAUUUCUGAGGAAAUAAAGCAACAAAACUCAGAGAUUGAGAAUCAAUUAGCUUCAAACAGAGCAAAUGGGUAAGUGAAAGAUCGAUUCUUUUUUAAUGGGUUUUUUCGAAUUAUUGAGGAAAUUGAGUAGACUUACAGAGCAAAGAAUGGAUUUGAGAAGAGAAGAACAAUUAGAGUCAGAGAUGUUCAUGGAGUUGAAGCGAUUCUGUAAUUGAAGAUCAUCUUUGGAAUUGCAGCAAGAUUUUCCUUUGUAGGAAUCGCAGAACUGGAGUGUCUCGUUGUUGUUAACUGGAGUCUCUGACAAAAGAACGAAAAAAUAAUCAAAACGACAGGAACACAAAGAACACUUAAACUCAAACAGACAUGAACACUUACUUGAAUCUGAGCAAAGAGGAUGAGAAGUUGUUGCAGAGAGUAGAAGAAGCAGAAGAAGGGAACAGAUAGUGAUGAUGGCUUGAAUCGUCUUUGCCAUUAUUGGAACUAUGCAACAACACAAUUCUCUCUCUCUCUCUUUAUCUCUUUCACAGGAGACUAGAAGCUAUAUAUAUAUAUUUGUAUGUAUAUGUGGUAGUAGUACGGUACUAGUACCGUAGGAGGUAGGAACAUAGUUGUGACUAAAUACGACAUGGUCGUUGAAAUUUUUGUCAACAAUAUUAGAGAAAACUUGAGAGAGAAAGGAAUAAAUUCUUGGAUAGGGUGAGACGGUUACGCUAAUUUGUCCAAUCUCAAAUAUUAAAUUCGAUUUGGUAUAUAUGAAUUUGUCAACCCUGUUCUCGAAGGCUGAUUUUUCCAAAAGGUUCCAAUUUUAUUUUAUUUUACUAUGAAAAAGAAAUGUGAAAUCAGUUUUCAAUUUUCUCUCUUAGUUUACCUAAAAAACAAUAUCGGUUUUGUUCUAUUAAUCUAUCAUUAUGUGCUAUGUAUUUUACAAAUUUAGCUCAUAGAGUCAAUUUUAUCAAGUCUAGAGUUAACCCUACGAACUUUGUAAUAUCGGUUACUGUGGUGCAUUUUCGUCUUACAAUAAUUUGUUAUUCACCUCAUGACAUUAAUAUUGUGUGUUGAGUUGUGCCAACUUCUGUCUACUAGUUUCUCAACUCAUUAAUUGUUUUUUUAGUUUUCUCUUGAGAACUCAGCCACAACUAUUUUUUUCAAAACCUAUAUAAAAAAGGUGUCGAUUAGCCUAUUAAUCACUAAACCAUCCCUAAAUCAACAACUUAACCAAUAAACCGGAAUGAUUUUUUUUGUGCACCUAAUUGAGUAGCCCGUUUGUAUUCUCCAUAGAGUAUUAUGUUUUCCAUUUGACAAACAAAAUUCUCAAAACAUAAAUGUUUUCGUAUGUAGAGGAUAGAUUUUUGUAAGAUAUACAGUAGUAAAGAGAGCAAGGCUUAGACCUUUUGAGCAUUUAGAUAACCAACAGAGGACUAUACUACAUAUCCUUUAUUCGUAUCUAAGUAUAUUUUCUUUCGGGUGUGGAUAAAAGACGGAAUUGAUUAAAAAUAAUAUCCUUCUCCUUACGCAUGUUAACCAUAUUAAUACUUUAGCAGUACCUAACAUGAACAUUAUUGGGUCAAUUUCGUCGUCCAUAUGAACAUUUUACAUUUUUUUACCUUCAAUUAUUAUCUUUUAGGUUGCUCCGCAUUUACCUUUUCUCACACGCUUCAAAAAGUUUCCUUCAUUAAUUUGCAUCUUUGGUUAAAUCAGAUACAUUAACCAGUUUGAAAAGUUAUAACAGCCAAAGUCCCAAAGAAACCACUGAUUAAACAAUUGUCUACCGACUAAAAACUCUUACAAGUCCUAUACAAUAUAUACAAACCUACUAAAAAGCUUAAAAAGCGAUUAUGAUCAAAUGUGAAAUACGACCGAAUAAAUUGAACAACCCACUACGACUAAUAUUAUACGUUAAUUUGGAGCCAACUAUAAAGCGUCUGAGCUCUGAAUAUCAAAGCGGGCCAUGUAGGAGCAGACUGAAUCAUGGUCCACAAACUUUUAGUUCUAAUAUCGAAACUUGUAAAUUAAGAAUACUUGAAUAUAACAUAUUAGAUACUGUAUAUUAUUAUUAGUAUUGAUCUCUUCAAAAAAAAAUAGAAAAAAAAGUUUCUUAAAUAUUUGGUGUUUUUUCUUUAUUAUAAAAAAAGAAUAAAAUGAAUUAAACAAUUCUUAAUUUUAACGUAAGAAGGUAGUACAUAGAAAUUGAUGGGUUAAAUUCAGAUUAGAAAAGCAUGUUAAAGAUAUAAUUGGCGGGUAAAAUUAAAGUAUCCCCAAGCAAAGAAAAGAUGCAAAUUAAUGGCAACUUGGAUCUCCUUCAAAGAAAAGAUGCAAAUUAAUGGCAACUUGGAUCUCCUUCUCGACAUUUUUUCUCUUAAUUGCAUUCCCCAUUUCUCACUUACUUUAUGAAAAUUUAGUUUAUUCAACGGCAUGGACUUUUUUUCAUUAAUGAACCGGUUGGACUUUUGAAAUAGUCUACUUCUUAUCAUAUACAGUAGUAGUAUAUUUUGAUAAUGAUGCAUACAUUCUAGAAGGUAAAGAGAGUUCUACUUGGGAUUUUAGACAUUUUUAGACAAUUAAUCAGUAAACUCCAACCUUUAAAUUUAUACUGUCUGUCUGUCUUGUAAAUUCUAUUGUUAUAUAUAUAUAUAUAUAUAUAUAUAUAUAUAUAUAUAUAUAUAAUAUAAUCUAUUAUUUAUCUGAAUCAACAAUUCAUGAUGAAAUUACGUAUUGGACUAAAAAGCAUUCAUCAAACACGUUGUUAGAUAGGACCAACAAAGAUAAGAGAGCAAAUAUUUCCCAUCCAUGAAGAUGAUGGAACAAACAAACUGUCUAAUUUAUUACAAGAUAAAGUUUCUAUAUUACAUAUUUUAUAAGGGUUUGACUCUAAAUAAACACUUACAAAAUUUGUUAAGAAAAAAUCGUGACCACUUGAUUUAUUGGAUAUUGAUAGUUGCUUCCAUGUGGAGUUGCACGUAGCGAUUCCUCUCGUUCGGCCGCCAAGUCUUAUAUGUAUACAUAUUAAAUAGUGAAAUGCGUUCUCAAUGCAUAGAUGAAUGAAUUAAAAAAAAAAACAAUGCAAAAUGAAAGCACACAUUUAUGGUGUUAGGUGCUGAGAUAUUCCAUGUAAACUUUAAUCUA
rnacentral:lncRNA from 1 species